UGCAGAACGUAUUCGUUGCUGGAACAGACACGAGUGCAGCAACUGUGGUUUGGGCCAUGACUUACCUAAUGAAGAAUCCUAGAGCAAUGAAAAAAGUUCAACAGGAAAUCAGAUCGUUGAUUGGGGGUAACAAAGGCUUUGUAAAUGAAGAUGAUGUUCAAGAACUACAUUAUCUUAAAGCGGUAGUGAAGGAGACAAUGAGAUUGCAACCCACAGUGCCAUUACUAGUCCCAAGAGAAACAAUUGAAAAGUGCGUAAUAGAUGGGUAUGAAAUACCAGCUAAAACACUUGUCUUUGUAAAUGCAUGGGCGAUAGGAAGAGACCCUGAAGCUUGGGAGAAUCCGGAGGAAUUUUAUCCGGAGAGAUUCGUUGAUAGCUUUAUUGACUUUAAAGGGCAACACUUUGAGUUAAUACCGUUUGGUGCUGGCAGAAGAAUUUGUCCUGGGUUGAAUAUGGGAAUCGCAACUGUGGAUCUUGCACUUGCUAAUCUUCUUUACAAAUUUGAUUGGGAAAUGCCGCCUGGAAUGAAGAGCCAAGACUUGGACUUUGAUGUUCUGCCUGGAAUUACUAUGCAUAAGAAGAAUGCUCUCUCUCUUUUGGCCAAGUAUCAUGAGUAGGUAAAUUAAGGCACCUUGGUCAAUAAGAGUUUGAUCUAAACUAAAUGUAUGUUAUAGAGAUUGCAUGUAUGUCCUCAAUUGUGCUUCUCAUGUUUCCUUUCUUUCUUCUUAUGUAUAAUGAAUGUUGAUGUCUAUGUGCCCAUAGGCUGAGUGGUUUUUAAUAAUUAAAUUUCUUUUAGUUCAAAAUUUUGGGAGGUAAGGACUAGAGAAUAAUGGUUACUCUGCUCACUCUCCUAUACUAAUAAAAAAAAAAGUUGAUAUGAAUGUGAAUAUUAAUCUACUACAUUCAUUUCGUCUCAUAUUUUUUCCCCUAUAUUUUUUGCUUUAGAUUUAACUUCUAUCACUUAAACUGCUAUCUUUUUAUAUGAUUGGAUAGAGAUUGAAAUUUUUGCUGUUCCAUCUCAAUGUUAAUGCUAAUUUUAUCUUCACACCUUUACUGUAAUUUUCUACUUUUACUAUUAGAUGCUGAUAGGGUCUUUUCUUGGAGAUUACUUUACCAAAAAAAGUCUGAAAGAAGAUUUUAUAUCGAUCGGAUAGCAAGCUUGUCCAUAUAGUUUAUGGAUUAUCUGCAAGAGCUCUUUUUAGUGCGCAUACGGUUGUCCCUUCAUGUUAGCAUAUUUAUUCUGUCAUCAAUGAACUUUUGCAUUUAAAUGGUAUCAGUUCAAGUGAUGAAUGAAUUUUACCUAUUGCCUAUCUUGGACUAAAUUUAAUUUCAAAAAAUGAGCUUCCAGCUUAUGACUUAUACGUAUCUUGAACUUUGGUUUUACGAUCACCGUUGGAUGGAAGAGUGGCUUGAGUUUGUUAAUUGCUUCAGUCCCAGGACUAGUGUUUGGAAACAUAAAAUUUAACACUCCCCAAAAUAAUUCAAUAUACAACCAACUCCGAUGAUCAACAUCCUCAACCAAAAUUCUAAGUUUUACUCAAGAUAUCUCCAGAGUCUCAAAAGAUAAUAUUAUAACUAAUAUUAAUAUACCUCAGUUUAUUCUUAAUCCCAAAAGAAUAAUAUAACAAAAUUAUACAAUCUAAAAAGAACAAGAUAACUAUGAUAUCCUAAUAAAAAAAAUCAUCUAUAUCUUCUAACACCAUCACGUGGCCAAGAUUCAAAAUAUAUUUACAGUCGCUGGGUCGGUUUGGUGUACCUGCAACCUCCUGGUGGGAGGAGGGAAUAGAAUAAAAGCGGGAUGAGUAUAAAACUCAGUGAGAUCAGUGAGUGGAUAGUAGUUUUCGAAAAAUUAAUUCUUACUUUAAAAGAAAUAAUUAUAUCAUUUCCAAACACGAUUUCAUCAAACCAUAUGCGAGAAACCAAUAAUAAAUCAUUUAACAUUUAAAUCAGAUUACUAAUCAUGAAAAUCAUAUAUAAUAUCAUGCCUAAUAACUAUGGAAAUCAUAUCACAAUAUCAUAUAAAAUACACAAAUCUGAAAAUCAUCACCAAACAAGUACCCAAGGGAAAAAUCUCGUCGUAUCCGGACCUCAACGGACGGGCAAUGACGUACUAUCUAGGUACUACCAUGCCCCAGAGCUACAUGGAUAGACAUGAAAAUACCAUCUCAUAUCUCAUCAUAUCUCAUUAUAUCUGUGCAUGCAUAAUCUAGUCCCCAAAGGAUAAAAUCGCCCAAGCACACGGCCCAAAGCCUCUGUGUGUACUCAGACGAAUUCCAAAGGCAUGUAUCUCAUCUAUAUCAUAUGUAUCUCAAUAUAUGUCUGUAUCUCAUAUUUGUAUCUCUAUAAUCAUCAUACCGCAUGCAUAUGCCCCCAAAAAGCAAAAGCGCCAAAACACACGGCCCAAAAUCUCUAUGUGUGUUUAGAUAGGCCCCAAAUGCCUCUUAUCUCAUCUGUAUCACUGUAUCUGGAGGGAAGGAUAUUGUCCAAUGAUUUUAAAAACAAUCUCUAUACUCAUAUUCAUAUACAUUCUAAUUAUACAUUUCUUUCUUUAUCACAUCUAAAUAUAUUUUUCUCAUCUUUAAAAUACUGUCAUAUUUUAUUCAAUGUUGAUACGAAAAAUCAUUAACCAAACAUUUUAAUAUAAUAUCAAUGCGUGUAUAAAAUCCAUUAUGAGGAAAUCAUUAAAUCAGAACAUUUAAAAUACUAUUUUCGCAAACGUGAUUUACUAUCAUAAUUAAUUAUGAAAAUAUGUUUUGUAUAUUUUACUCACAGCGACAGUGUUCACGCUCGGUUAUCGUCCACGUCUGCGAAUCGGUUCUCGCUCACAGAUCCUCCUAAAUAAAAGAAACGGCAUAAUUAUUUUCUGUAAAUCAGAAUUAAGACUAAAUUUAUGCAAUAAACUCGAAACGAACAUCUAUCCAUAAUUUACAACUCCCGUAUCGAUAGAAUUACUGAAAUACCCUCAAAUAUGUAAAUCGUUAAAAUACUCCAAAAUCGUAAAUUAUCGAAUUACCCUCGGAAUCGUAAUUACACCCAAUCCUCAAUUUCAGAAAUUACUAAAAUAUCCACAAGCUCAAAAAUUACAAAAUUACCCUCAGAGUGUGAAAUUACUGAAAUGUCAUUGUCGGUCAACGGUCACUGGAAUUUAGUCAACGCUGUCCGGGAAGCUCAAGUAUAAAAGUUCCAAUAACGCUGAGUCUAAUAGUGCCGGCGGUGAGGUCCCACAUGCGGCAACGACGCCGUGAAUUUCCAACAAUUGGCCGGCGGCGAAACAGUGACUCCCGGUGACUGUAGAUGGUCAGGAAUUGAAGAGGGAGUUGUGGGGAACAAAAGUGAGGUGGUGGCGUGGUCAAAUUCCAAUAGAAUCAACGGCAAUGGUAUGGGUUUUGGCCGCGGUUUCUCAAGCUUGAAACGGCGACGAUCCCGUCUGCUUUCAGCGACAAUGACGACUGGGUAUGAUGGCCGGUCUUCAAGCUUCAGAUUGGUACCAAGCUUGACCGGUGGGGUGGCCAGAAUCGCAAGAUAUGGCCGGGUCAAUUUCGGGUCAAAACGGUCGGGUUUUUGGGUCGGUUUUGACAGCUUCUCUCUCACUCUCUCACACGUGUGUCUCUGUUUCCCCUGUUUUCCAGCUUCCUCUUUCAUUUAUUUUAACUUUUUAACCGCCUCAUUUUUUUAUUUACUUUUUCACAUAUGUUACAGAAUAACUUAAUCUUUUGCUAUUUUAUUACGUUCAGUUUAUAUACAGCUGAUUCAUUGUAACAAAUGUUAUCAUAAAUAACCACUCGGGCAGUAGCCCGAGUGGCCAGGGCUGCUGCCCUCCAACAAGUUGGAGGGCAGCAGUUCGAACCCCCACAAAAAUAUUGUGGGGGUAUUUCUUUCCUCAAUUAAUUUGAGUGAAGGUAGUCUUCUCUCUUACCCAUGAGUGAGGAGUAGACAUCCCUCGAAUAUUUGUGAGGGUUAAAAUCUGGGCAGAGCUCCAUUAGCAUUGAUGUCAGUUGGUCCCAGUAAUAGUCUGAUUUGUAAAUAUCAGUAAUAGUCUCAUGUAUAUGAGUUGUAAUCUGAGCAAUAGUCUCAUGUAAUCAAAAAAAAAAAAUGUUAUCAUAAAUGAUUCUCGAGUAAUUUCAUUUAUUUACUUUUUCUUCUUUCACAGUUGGCCUGUACGGUAUCAUUUACUUUUAUCUUUUUUCAAAUUUCUUUUAAUCUAGAGAAUGUUUGUUUUAGUCCUGAUCUUGGGUUACUGAAAUGUUUCAUUCCCUUUUCCUAAGUAUUUUUGUUGCUUGUUUAGCGGGCAAUACUGCAACAGUGAUUUCAAUUCACAAAAUUCUGUAAAUACUUAUUAUUCUUAGUGUGGUUUUAAGGUAGAGUGAACUUAAUAUUAUCAUAAUGGCUUACAUCCCUCCACAUAUGAGGCAUACUACGGACCCCCAGAGGCCAUCUCCAGUUCCAGAGAUGAUUGUGCCUAAAUUCAACAGAAAAUUAAACUUGGGAUCAUCCAAGCAUAAUGCAGACAUGAGUGGAAAGAUCGUGUAUGCAGACCCUGCCAUACACAGGUUCUUCAUAUGUGGCUUGGAUAAUGAUAGCAGCACUCCUUCUGUCCGCUUUGUGGAGUUUUCAGACGACCCUGUUGAGCAUAAAAGAUCGACGACCAUUAAUCUGGCUCGAGGUUACUGAUCUGCAUUUGUAAUUUUAUCUUAAAUAUGUUCUACUUUCUUUCUUUAUUUAUAUCCGGUGCUAACUUUAGUUAUAAUGACAUUUGGAUUUUGGGUUGGUAGAUAACGAUAAAUUAUGUGGGAAUACGUCAAGAAGCCCGUGGGAAUCGAUGGCAGAAAAUGUAUGGCCAGAUGUAUUGAGUGCUUGUAACAUUGUCAAGAACGAAAUGGAGGAAAAGCCAACAAUGGUUGCUAGAUUUGGCCAUCAUCUUUUCCGUGAGUAUGUGAUCUGGUUCCAUUGCUGUAACAGCUUGAACUUUUUAUUAGGUCAUUCCUUUUCUUUGGACUUUGAAAUUAAAGCAGCAAAAAUGCAUGUUCAUACUAAAUUCUGACAGAAAUCUUAUGGUCAUAUAAGUGCUGGCAGCUAAAAUUAUGAGCUUUACCAUUAACCCUACCACCAGCUGUGGAUGACUGUAUAUCGGACCUCCAAGCCGGGGACAAAAGUUAAAAUUGCUUUUAAAAGCCAAAGAGGAAAAGAUUUGUAGAAAGAAGGAAAAAGAAAAUGGCAAUUUAUAGUGCAUGCACUUCUUUCAGACUUGUAUCUCAUAGAAGCUUUCAUGGCAUCUAGAAUUUGGCUUUGGCUUUGCGUAGGACAUUUCAAUUGUUGCUGGUGGAAACAAAUAUAUCCAUUGUCUUAGUAUUGCUUGAUUUCCGGUGCAAGAAACAAAUAAAUUUGUUGCCGUGGCCAAGUUUUGUUGUUUGAUAUUUCAUUGGGACAACAAAGUAUACCACUGCUUCGCCUAUUUCUUACAUCUUUGCAUCAUAUAUUUCCAUUCUUCUAUCACAUCUUUGAAGCUUCUACUAGUUCUCAUAUUAGAAGCGCCUCAAAGAAAUAAUUAUUAUAUUAUUCGUCUUAAUGAAGGAGUGACAUACUGAGCUUAGAAAAUGCAAAAGAAGGUCAGGUUGCUGAAUCUGCUUUGAGCCCACUGAGGAGAUGCUUUUACACUGGUGUCCCUCCUACAUACAUGGGAAAAAUUGUAAAUGAAGUUGUGCCAAAAAUUGGGGUUGGUUUUGUAGAGAACAAGGAUAUAUACCAUGUCAAGGUAGUUCUCCUGCAGUCCUGCUAAAUACUUUAGUAGUCAUCACCAAGUUUCUUUUAUCUCUCACUUAAUUAGCCAUUGAUUCCCCCCCUUCUUUUUCUUGUGUAGUUGUCUGAUGGCACACGACAAAUUACGUGCAAAUGUACUGUUAAAGAAGAUCAAAAGCUUCAUCUCUAUAAGGCAAGUCUUUUGCUACUGGCUGAGUAUUAUUUAUGGACAACGGGUCCAAGUUUAUAAGUUGCCUCUUGUGUUAAGGAGACUUUUGCUAGUGGAAACAUUGAAACAAGACUUAUGAUGUUUUGAAUUGAAUGAUAUAAUCUUUUCACUGUGAAUUAUGAAGGAGAUGUCGAAUAUAAGCGAUAGAUAUCAAGAAAGAGACGAAACCUUUGUGUCUCAAAAGAACCUUUUAGAAGUCUCUCCAGGAAUAAUCUCAGUUAAGAGGAAAAGAAUUAAAAUGAAAAGAAGGAAGAAAAUUCUCAAGAAGUAAGACUAAUUCUACAUCUAAUUGAGGAACAGGCUUGUUAAUUUAACAAGGAAAGCUCCAGUAGCUAUUUAUUAUAAACCAAUUAAAAAUUGAAUUAAAUUAAUAGUUAACUUGUAAUUGAAUGUCUAAUCCAACAAACUAUGCAUAAGAUUACAGAUGUAACUAUGUAAUACAAAAAACCUCUGCUUAUCGUAGACCAAAGUGAAUAUGCCAAUAUUUAGGAAUUUCUUUCAGCAUCAUGGGAUUUAGAUCCCUAUAAUUUUUUUUAUUUUAGUGUAGUGACAUCCGGAAGACCAGAAUUAUCACGUACCUCGUAGUAGUCAUUUUAUGUCUUUUAAAGCGCCACAUUAUUUCCCAUACAGUCAUAAUAUAUCUAUUUGUUGUUUAUUUAUUGUUGUCGUGUGUGGAGUCUCAUCUUGAAUAUGAACAUUUUUCCGGAAGGUCGAGCUGAACUCUGUUCGUCACAUGGUAGCAGACAUGUUAUGCGUUCAUAAAAAUCUAGACCUGAGGUUGGCACUAUGUUCAAAGAGUACCUUAUCUGCUCUCUCGGUAAGUCAAUCUGCUACUCUGUGCAUGUUUAGCUGGACUUUUAAGUUACGCCUUCUUUUUUCCCCUUUUUAUUUUUUUUUGGUCAUUUGCUUGUUGGAAUCAUCAUCAUUACAGAAUGAGGAAGAAAAAUUCAAGACCAGGGGAAAUAAGGAAAUAUUAAACUUAUAGCUUUUGUUUUAUCAUAGAAAGUUUACUUUCAAGGGGUUGAGAAAAAAAAAAAAUUAUAUAUAUAUAUAUAUAUAUAUAUAUAUAUACACAUACAUAUAUAUAUAUAGGGAUGGCAAAAUCCGGGUCUGGGUCCGGGUUUAGCCUUCCCGGUUCCGGACCCGGACGCCAUUUUCUUUCUCUCGGUCCCGGAUUAAAACCCGGUUUUUUCACUUCGGGUCCGGUACGGGUUCAACCCGAAAAAAUCCGGGUUUUGAACCCGGAUCAAUGAAUUAAUUUCUAUAAUUCCAAAAAUAAAAUCUUCAUAUGAAGAUGGCGAUUUUUCACUGGAACCAGAGAAAAUAUUUAUGGCACCUGGAGGGAGUUCCCUCUGUUUUGCAGAUCAUUUAUACAGAACAAAAUGAUUAAAUACCCAAAAAGGAGGAUCACAUGUCUGCAGAUUUGGCCCGCGGAAAAGAUUCAACACAAUCUCCAAAACCAUUUUAGAAUCCGCGAUGGUGAAGAUGCGUUGUCACAACUCAAACAACGACAGCCGAUGAUGAUGAAUACAGGAGCUACAAGGUUGCGACGGUGGUGAACCCAAGAGAACGAGUUGCGACGGUGGCGAACCAAGCUUGCGACGGUGGUGAACCCAAGAGAACGAGUUGCGACAGUGGCGAACCAAGCUUGCGACGGUGGUGAACCCAAGAGAACGAGUGGCGACGGCGGCAAACCAAGCUUGCGACGGUAGCAGCUUGGAUCGUAUGGUUGUUUGGUUGCAGCAAGCGGCAGCUUCAAUGUGUGAAUGUGAGUAUGUAAAUUAGGGUUUUUGUUAUGUUUGUAUUUAUAUUAAAUAAUAAAUAUAAUUAAAAAAUAAUAUUAAAAUAAGAUAUCCGGGUCCGGGUUCCGGAUAUACGGGUUACUCUAAACUCGGAAUCGGACCCGGAUCUAUCCGGGUCGUUAAAAUUCAUUCCGGAUCCGGAUUUUUUUACACUCCGGUACGGGUUCAACCCGGUCCGGAUUAUCCGGAUUCGUCCGGGUCCGAUCCGGGUCCGGGUUAUUCUGCCAUCCCUAUAUAUAUACAUACACACACGACAACAAUACAUAUAUAUACAAAAUUGUGAUAUCGUGCCACAGUUGCACUCAACCGUUGGAUUUCUAUGGACCCCACCUAUCUAAAUGGAUCCAACGGCUGGAUGCAACUGUGGCACGGUACCAUAGUUGCACCGUAGCCAGACCCUGCAAAAGUAUAUUGAAGUUUUUUUCUGGCCUUUUAUGUAAUCACACCCGCCAGUAAUGAGAUAAUUUACAAAAAGGUCCUUGAUGUUUUGGUUAAAUUUAAUUAAAUUAGUAAAUUCAUCCAAAACGGCAUCGUUUUGAAUGUGUUUUUAUUAAGAUUUAUCCAGCAUUUCGUACAUAUAUCAGUGCUUUUUUUUUUUUGUUUAAUUUUUAUAAAGUGUUGGUUAGAAGGCAAACAUCUUACAUUAAAAUGGAGUCUUCUUGCGGCGGCCAAAGGAGAUAUAUAUAUAUAUAUAGGCACACACACAUACACUAGAGUUUUGUUUAAGUUAUAUUUCACAUGGAUUAAGUUGUAGAUGACAGAUCUCUAAAAGCAUCUUGUAAAAUUGUACAUUAAAAAAUAAUAGUUCUAGUAGUGUUAAAGGCAGCUGCUGAAAACAGUUUCUACUUAUGCUGCGUUUACUAAACUGGAAUCGGAAUGAGUUGGAAUCAGAAUGGACGGGAAUCGAAAUGAGCUGGAAUGAGAAUCAAAAUAAGUUGUUUACUUGAACUGUAGGAAUCGAAAUCGGAAUGAGCUGGGUUGCCAUUAAUGUGUUUACUUUGUCUUGAAUCGGAAUCAGAAUGAGUUAGAUUGUAACAAAUUACUAAAAAAUACUUAAUGAAUUAUUGUCAUAAUUAUUAUUAUUAACUAAUUUUAAAUUUUUUAUCAAAUUAUUAUAAUUAUAUUAACAAUUAUUAUAAAAAUAUAUUAACAAAUAAUAUUAAUAUUCAAAAAUUAUAAUUAUUAAUAAUUAUUGUUAAAAAUAUAUUAAUAUAUUAAUUAGUACUAAUAAUUAUAUUAUUUAAUUAAUUAUAAUAACUAUAUUAAUAAUUAUUAUAAUAACAUGUUAAUUAAUUAUUUACAAUAAUAAUAUAUUAAUUAUUGUGAUUAUUUACUCAAGAACAAUAAUUAUUAAUAUAUUAUUGUUAAUAAUAUAUUAUUAUAUUAUUUAAUAGUGAUAAUUAUAUUAAUUAAUAAUAAUAUAUGAAUUAAUUCUAAUAAUUAUAAUAGUAAUUAUUAUAAUAAUAUAUUAAUUAAUUACAAUAAUAAUAUAUUAACUAUUGUGAUUAUUUAUUCAGAAAUUAUAAUUAUUAAUAAUUAUUGUUAAUAAUAUAUUAAUAUAUUAAUUAGUAGUAAUAAAUAUAUAAUUUAAUUAAUAAUAAUAUAUGAAUUAAUUAUAUUAAUAAUUAUUAUAACAGUAUAUUAAUUAAUUAUAAUAAAAAUAACAAUAAAUUAAUUAUUGUGAUUAUUUAUUCAAAAAUUAUAAUUAUUAAUAAUUAUUGUUAAUACUAUGUUAAUAUAUUAAUUAACAGUAAUAAUUAUAUUAAUUAAUAAUAAUAAUAUAUGAAUUAAUUAUAGUAAUAAUAUUGAUAAUUACUAUAAUAGCAUAUUAAUUAAUCAACUAAAAUAAUAAUAUAUUAAUUAUUGUGAUUAUUUAUUCAAGAACUAUAAUUAUAGUUAAUAAUAUAUUAAUUAAUCAUAAUAUUUAUUUAAUUAAUUAUAAUAAUAUAUUAAUUAAUUAUAACUGAGGACAAAGUGGGUAUUUUUAGUUUUGGGGGAUGGCAAAAUGGGAAUUCUUGGGAUGGGAGAUUGAUUCCCACCUCCCCCAUGGGAAUCAAUCUCCCAUUCCCCAUUCCCAAAUAGUUGUGGGCCCCACCAUUUUGAUUUCCAUUCCUGCUUCAUUUUUGCGAAGUAAACGCGUCAAUCAUUCCGAUUCCAGAUUUCGAUUCCCCAAUUCGGGAAGUAAACGCACCAUUAGUUUCUAGUAUAUCCAUAUAUAUUUACCUAAAAAAGAAGGAGGUAAACGUCUUUUGUUUUUUUUUUUUUUUUAAAAGAGAGAGAGCGAGAGAGAGAACAUUUUCUACUGUGUUCACUGACACACCCCGCCCCGACUUAUAUGUUGGAUCCGAGGCGAAUCAUGCGGUCUAGUAACUAAAACUCGUGGCACUAACUUAAUUCAUGUAUAUAUAUUAAUAGUUUUCUGGUUAGGGAAUUGUAAGCUUUUAAAGCCGUGCAGUUUUAAAGUUUUCCCAGACUUUCCCGCACUUUAAAAUUCCAGACUGGAACAUUUAUAUAUAUAUAUAUAUGACCUUUACUAUAAACACAUAACAACCUUUGUGUCUCCUCCGAAAAUAUAUAUGUAUUCAAAACUUGCACAGUUCAUGUCUCAUUAUACAUACUUACAUUACAAGUAUAUAUACAAAAAAAACAUAAACAACAUAAAUGUGCUCAAAAUGCAAGACAUGCAACAAUGCGUCUCGUGGGCCCACCCCAAUUGACUGGAACUGAUCUGCACGAAAUCCUGCGGAAUCCUGGGAAAAAAAAUAGAUAAAUAAGAAAAUAAUGAGCUUGCGGCUCAGUGAGUGGAUAUAAUUUAUAUAUAGAAAAAUAUAGUAGCGUACUAGGAUAUAUACAUAAUUAUGUGACAUAAUUCCGCACUGAAUGUAAUGCAUCAACAAACAUGAAAAUCAUACACACAUGACAAAAUUGUACCAAAUAGUACCCAGGGGAAAUAACUCUCAAUACUUGCUGGGAUCAUCGUCGCACGAGAAGAGCGGGAAAACUCUCAAUACCCAGCGGAAUUUAACUAAAUCGCACGAGUAGAGUAGCCUAACUCUCAAUAUGCAUGCGUAGAGCCUAUGGAGAAGGGUACAUAUAUGGUGACUGACAAUCACAUCUCAUGACUCAAUCAAACAUAUAAUAUGCAAAUAUAUAAUCAUGAUAUUAAAUCAUAUUAUCAAAUAUAAAUGCUUCACGAAAUUCAUAUUAGUAAUAAUAGUAUCCACUCACAAAUCAUGUUUCACUUCGGGGUGUUUGUUGGGGCUCCUAUGGGUUCUUGAAUUCUUGAGUUCCUCCUAAAAUAUAAGAUUAAAAAAUUAACUAUUAAAACUGAUAUAAAAAUUGAUACGUAUCACAAAAACUGUAAUAUAACUGUUCAAACUUCAUAUAUCUAUUACCCAUUAAUUCAUUGGAUAUUAAUGUAAGUGUUUAAUUUCAUUUCCUAUAACAUUCCCUCUCAAUUUAUCUUUUAAAUUUCUUUUCCCACUCUUGGCUUCUUCCUUUCUUUUAUUUUUUUUCUUUCCUCUUCUCUUUUGCUCUCAGUUUUUCUUCUUUUUCUUCUCUGUCUCACUUCAAAAAAUGAUGCAAAAUGAGAGCUGGUUUCAAUUCCUUCAAAUUCAUAUAUGUCCACCGACUCAAGCACACAAGUAGAGCAUACGGGUGAAGCAUGCACGUGCCUUGCAUGAAGCUGGUAGCUUGCUGCUGCUUUGAUAAUUAGCCACGUUUGGCUUAUAAAGAAGCGGUGAAGCAUGCACGGUGCAUUACAUUCAUGCUAUCUACGGAAUGAUAAAAACUAAACUUCAAGUACAGCGGAGUAAAACCUGUGCACACAGCUUAACAUUUUAUGUGGCAACUCUGGAAGAAAUCUCACAAUGAAAAUAAAAAUUACAGGCGAAUGUUGCAAGUAUAUUUCAUUCAUAUGUCAAUUUUUGAAAACCUUGCUCUGUAAGUAAACCAACCAAUCUAUUUGUGACAAAUGGGAACAAGACAGUAACCUCCUUAUUUGAUGAUAUGCAGCAUUUGCAGAAGCUGAAACAGUAAACAUGGGAAUGAAAGGAUUAGAAUCAUUUGAUAUAUUUUUUUUUAACUAGAAUUACUUCCACCGUAACUGAUAUAAUUAAAUAAGAGAGAAUUUACAAACUAAUUUUUUAAAUUCUCUCAAAUAAGUAAGCAUAUUAAUUAAAAAAAUUAAAUUAAAAGUAUUUCAUUUAAUUAUUUUUUUAUUGAAAACUAAUAAUUAAUACAUAUGCAUUCUCUACAGGUUUAAUCAGGUUUUGUUGUUGUACACAUUAGUAUAAUAAGUUUAAAUGAAGUUUAAACUUUGAUAAUUUAAAUUAAAAUUCUCACAAUUAUUUGAAGAUUGUGGUUCGGUGAAAUGAAGUUUAUCCAGUAUAACAUACCAAAAAGGGGGCGGCUAAGGAGGCAGCCAGGAGGCAACCGAGAGUUAGCAAAAGAGGCAAGAAAAAGGCAACAAGCCAACAAUGAAGUCAAAAGCUCAAGAAGGGAAGCGGUGAAGCAAAUCCGACAAACGCAAGCAAGAGUUAAGCUGGCUGUUUCGCAUGACACAUGUGAAGCUUCAUCACAAGCUGGCUGUUUCGCAUGACACAUGUGAAGCUUCAUCACAAGCUGGCUGUUUCGCAUGACACGUCUAUGCUAUUUUUCUUCUGGAUUUAAUCUAUCAUUGUCGACGACGACGAUUUGCUAACCUCACAAGUGAUAAGGACUCUACAAGAGUACAAAACAGAGACUCGUAAUAUUACUGAAUAUAGCAUUUCUGUUUCCUUAUUAAUGGAGAAAGGCAGUUAUGUUUUUGCAGCGGUCAAGGGCAUUGAAGAUAUUAUGGCUUUACUUAUCAUCGUUAGCUUCCUUCUGUGUCUCCCAUUCUUCCUCUUCUUCUUUGUUUUGCAAAGGCACAAAACCUCGAAAAAUAAUACUAAAUUACCACCAGGCCCCCGGGGCCUUCCCUUCAUCGGUAACUUACAUCAGUUUGAUGUCUCAAAGCCUCAUGUGUCAUUUUGGGAACUAUCGAAAAAAUAUGGCCCCCUCAUGUCCUUGCGUCUUGGUUUUGUGCCGUCCUUAGUAGUUUCCUCAGCAAAAAUGGCUAAAGAGAUAUUGAAAACCCAUGACCUUCAAUUUUGUAGCAGGCCAGCCUUGGUAGGGCAACAAAAGUUAUCUUACAAUGGUCUUGAUUUGGCUUUUUCACCCUAUGAUGAAUAUUGGAGAGAGAUUAGAAAAAUUUGUGUCAUUCAUCUCUUAAACUCUAAUAAGGUACAAAAUUUUCGACCCAUUAGAGAAGAUGAAGUUUCAAGAAUGAUUGAAAAGAUUUCAAAAUCAGUUGCUGCUUCUAAGCUCGUAAACUUAAGUGAGGUAAUGAUGUCUCUUACUAGCACUAUUAUUUGUAGAAUUGGUUUUGGCAAGAGGUACGAUGAAGAUGAAGCAACAAGUGCAAGAAGUAGAUUCCAAGCCUUGCUUAAUGAAACUCAAGCCUUGUUUGUAAGCUUUUUUGUUACAGAUUAUUUUCCUUUCAUGGGCUGGAUUGAUAAGUUCACAGGAAAGAUGCAACGUCUGCAAAAUAACUUCCAAGAACUUGAUAGAUUCUACCAGGAACUCAUCGACGAGCAUUUGGAUCCAAACAGAACAAAAUCAAAAUUGCCGCAACAGGAGGAUAUAAUUGAUGUUUUACUUCAAAUAAGAAAAGAUCGUGGAUUUAAAGUUGACCUGACUUUGGAUAACAUCAAAGCAGUGCUCAUGGUGGAUAAUUUUAUAAAUAGUUAUAUGUAGACUCGUGCUUAGGCGCAGACUCAAAAUUUUGUGCAGAUGCCCAAUUUUACAGUGUUGUAAAACGUUUUAUAAUGCUGUAAAGUGCUCUUUGACGUCUCCGCCUGAGCAUGAUUAAUUUAAUAUAAUUUUAUUCGCUUUAACUAAUUUAAUAUGUAUAUUGUUUGCUUUGCAGAACGUAUUCGUUGCUGGAACAGACACAAGUGCAGCAACUGUGGUUUGGGCCAUGACCUAUCUAACGAAGAAUCCUAGAGCAAUGAAAAAAGUUCAACUGGAAAUUAGAUCGUUGAUUGGGGGCAACAAAGGCUUUGUAAAUGAAGAUGAUGUUCAAGAACUACAUUAUCUUAAAGCCGUAGUGAAGGAGACAAUGAGAUUGCAACCUACAGUGCCGUUACUACUUCCAAGAGAAGCAAUUCAAAAGUGCAUAGUAGAAGGGUAUGAAAUACCAGCUAAAACACGUGUUUUUGUAAAUGCAUGGGCGAUAGGGAGAGAUCCUGAAGCUUGGCAGAAUCCUGAGGAAUUUUAUCCGGAGAGAUUUGUUGAUAGUUGUAUUGACUUUAAAGGGCAAAACUUUGAGUUAAUACCGUUUGGUGCUGGCAGAAGAAUUUGUCCUGGGUUGAAUAUGGGAAUUGUAACUGUGGAGCUUGCACUUGCUAAUCUUCUUUACAAAUUUGAUUGGGAAAUGCCGCCUGGAUUGAAGAGCCAUGACUUUGAUGUUCUGCCCGGACUUGCCAUGCAUAAGAAGAACGUUCUUUCUCUUCGGGCUAAGUAUCAUGUUGAGUAGGUAAAUUAAGGCACCUCCAUCAAUAAGAAGGUAAAUUAAGGCACCUCCAUUAAUAAGGGUUUGAUCUAGCUAAAGGAAAUAUAUGUUAUGCGUCCUCAAUUGUGCUUCUCAAUGUUUUCUUUCUUUCUUCUUAUGUAUAAUGGAUGUUUACGCGAAUGGUUUUUAGUAAGUAAUUUUCUUUUAGUUCAAAAUUUUGGGAGGUAAGGGCUAGAAGAUAAUAGGGACUCUGCCCACUCUCUUAUACCUUUAAAAAAAUGAUAUGAAUGUGAGUAUCAAUUUAUCACAUUUAUUUUGUCUUACAUUUUUCUCUCUCCAAUUUCAAAUUAUAAAUGUAUAUAUAAAUACACGAAACGACCAAUCAAUAUUAUUUACUUGAUAUAACUAAUAAGUAAAUUCAUGGCUUUUUCUAUCACCCCUUUUUUUGUUAGGAGUAUCAGUAAAAUCAGCUCUGUAAUGCUCUACAUCUUUACCGUGAAAGCUGCAUUUUUAUGGAAUCAGCUUACAGUUAUGUACUAACCAAAAAAAAAGAAAAAGAAUAUUACAUCAAUUCUUCAUUGAGAUUUGAGACAUUUUCUUCCUCCAGAAAGUAUACAAGUUAAAAAAACUACACAUCAUUGUGAUUUCAUAACAGCAUCAUCCAUCACUUUCCUAUGAGCUUUUUAUGAGGCCGGAGGCUAAAGCACAAUCAGUUGAGCUGUUAUUGCAUUUCCCACAGCAAGACUGUGGCAAAUCAGUUGACUUUUGACGUUAAAUGGUGGUUUCGGCUUGCAGUCACUUGUGUUUGUUCAAUUUCAAUAAAGGAAAUUUCAUUUUUGUUAAAAUCCAUGAAUAUUAAUUACUACCUUGUUCGCUGUUCAGUAAAACUAAAACAACACCAAAACUUAAAUAUUUUCGCUAUAUCACAAACUUAAAUAUUUUUUUUUUCCCCCUAUACAUCCCUAGUAAGGUUGACAGAAAAAAACCAAAUUUCAAUCGGUAUUGGGAUCCCCUCCCGAAUGAUAGGGGAUUUGGCACUAAUUUUUAAAAUCGAUUCGAUACUAAUUUUAACAAACACUUGCUUUAAACCAACUUAUUCUUCUACCACAUAAUUUACUUAACUUUCAUUACAUGAAAAAUAGUCAUUUUUUUUACCUAACUUGUUCGACAAUAGUUAAAUAUGUUGGUGAGAGGGCAGUUUUCAAUUGUAAAAAUCAAGACAUCGAGAAAAACUAAAAUGGCUAUUUGGUUUUUCUAAUGAAAAACUAAAACAACUAUAUGGUUUAGCGUGAAAUUUUAGCUUCAUUGGUAUUUAUGACGAUUGUAACUAACCAUUAAAAAUGCAUAAUUAUUUUCUACCUGUAGUGAUUUAGGUGCUGUAGAAUUCGAUUAGCAACCUAAGCACUGCCCAAGAUCACAAACCAGAUCCACUAGAUGCUAAGAACCCAAACAAUCAAGCUUUAAGUUUCAACAAAACCUUUAACGAAAAUGGCUUAAUCAGAACACACUCAGAACAAGAAUUAGAAACCAAUCACACCCAAAAGAAAGAGAAAUAUUUACGUGGUUCGAUUGUGCAAAGAAGCACAAUCUACAUCCACGGGAGAAGCCCACAGAGCAAGCUUUAUUGAUGAUUCAAGUAAUCUUUACAGAGCAAUACAAGAGCUAACUACUAGGAUCAAGACGAAGCUUUCUCUCUAUCUUAACUCUCUCUAUCACGCUCUCAGAUCAUCCAUGAAACUGCUUCUUUAACCAGCUUAUAUAGCAGCUGAUAAAGAACCCAGAAGUUGCAGAUUUCCGCCACCUGGACUAACAGCUUCUAACUGAUUUGAUUCUCCACCCCCCGUGCACUUCACAUGUUUCACUUAAGCCUUUUGCCGAAACGUCUCCAGCUCCUGCCGUUUUGAACUUAAGUGAAUCACAUGCCAUGCUCGUGACUCCUGAGUAUAUUAAACAUAUUCCAAACGUUGUCGUUUAACAUGCUCAAGUUUUGGAUUCAACAUUUUAGUCCACACUACCGUUUCAAAAACAUAGUCGAAAAUAAAAUAAUAUUUUCAAUUAUUGUAAUUUUUAAUCAAAAAUAGGAAAAUAUUUUUAAACGUAACUAGGAGUUGGUUGAAAAAACCAUUAAAAAGAUAUAAAAUUUUAACAGACAACAUGGGCACCAAUAAUGUUUUUCACUACUAUAACUUGCAAGGUUGGUCAAAGCAAAAGCUGUAAGGGUAAGUAAAUAUAAUAUAAAAUUAUAUAUCAUCUAAAAGAAAAGUAAUUGUACGUUUUUUUUUCUUAGUUUACUAUUUUUUUUAUCAAACAUGAACUAGAUAAUUAAAUAAUUAAUUAAUUAAUGUAUUUUUUUUAUAGAAUUAAUUAAUGUACUUAAUUGAAAAUAAAAUUAACUUCUACGAUGCAAACAGAAUUUGAGCCCUCAACUGAAAAGAUAAAAUAUGAAAGUGCCUACCACUGGAGCAAGAAAUAAUUUUCAGUAAAUUAUAAAUUAAAUAAUUAUGAAAGGAUUGAUUUUUUCUAAAGGUUUUACUAGGUGCAACAAUGGAAUUGAAUUACCUUAUUUAACUUAGAAGAUAUUGAUUGAUUACAGCAUAGAUAUAAUGUAUGAUAUCUUAAAUUAAACAUCAAUUAACUUCGAAAUUAUAUUGUAGUUCAAAUAAACUCGAUAAUAUUUAUGAUCACAUUCUAUCUUAUACACAAACUUGAAACUUAUGUUAUUGAUUAAGUCUCAACUAUUUUAAUCAUUAUCAUUGAAUCAAUUUAGAAAUUGAUUAUCGAACUAGCUGGUAUUUUAUAGUUAAGUAUUUAAAGAAAUAAUGUCUAUGAUUGAUCAUAAUUAUUGUUGAAUCAAUUUGGAGACUAGCUAAUUUUCAAAUUAAUGUAAUUAUCUAGUGGUCAAUUUCAAUAAAUAGAGUCUAAUAGUUUUCAUAGUUGUAUUAUACUCAUAAUUGUGGAACAUGGAACGUAUACUUCAUACUUAAAACUUAUUGCAUAUAUUAAAAAAAAUAGAUGAUUAGUAAUUAACAUUUAAUUAUAGUUGAAAUAUUAAUUAUUAAAUUAGUCUAAUUGUCUAAGAACAGUCAUACAAUUAAUUUCAAUAGAUAACAAGAACUAUUGCAAUAAUUUUUUUAUAUUUUAAAACAUAUCUCAACUAUGAAUUAUUAAAACUAAUAUAGCUUCAUAGUUUUUAGGCCAAUAUCUAUUUUCAUCUUUUGUUUAUCUUAUUAAUUUAAAUUUAAAAUCUAUGUUAAAUAAUAAAGAUGUUCUAUCAAUCAAUUUAGGCUAUAGAUUAAUUAAACAAUCUAGUAAUCACAUAAUAGGUAUUACAUAUAAUUGUUCAAUUAUAAUAAACUUUAAAUUUGCAUUAAUGAGAUAAGAAGUUUUGUUUUGCAAUUAAUCGAAUCGUAUGCUAAUAAUUUUCAAUAUUUAUUAUUAUUUCAAUAUUUAUUAGUAUGAAAUAACUAACUUAGGAUAAAUAAAUUGAUUGAUUGAUUUUUUCUUAAAUUUUAAUAUCUUGUAUUAUCUCUAUUAACUAUUUGGUCCACUGCCACCUAACUAAAGUUUUUAGUGCAAGUGUAUGUGUACCUAUUCUCCACUCUCUCUAACAAAUAUCUCAAUUAGCCACCGAAUCAAAUCUAAUAAUAGAAUAAAUAAAUAAAAGCCACCGAUAUUAAGCGCAACGGAUGAAUUCAUCUCCUCUUCUUUUGUAUAUUCUCUCCAAAGCUUUCAACUCUAUUUUGGGGUCAUUUUCUUAAUUUUUUUUAAUUAAACUAUAUAGAAACUGGGGAGAUGUUUUCAGAUAUUUAUUAAUUUUUAUCCUUCACCUUUAAUUUCUUAAGUUUGACAUCAGUUAUUGUUGGCCUCACUCUCACAUGGUUGGUUUGAAGCUUUUCUAUCAUGUAGUUCGGUGAAAAUUAUUUGAUUAAUCGUGACUUGCAGGUAAGAAUUAUAUUAUUAUUUUGUGUUAUGUUUUUAAUUUAUUAGAUUUUAAUUCACAAUUUAUUUGAUAACAAGUGAAAGAGAUGUUAAUUAGGAUAGAUUCAUUUUCUUGUUUAGUAUAUAGGAUUUUCUACUUUAAUUUAAUUGUAUCUUAAUAUUUUUUUUAUUGUUAUCAAGGGAAUUAAGAGCCUAGGAAGAAAAAAUUAUGAUAUUCAACUUUCAUAAGGAUUCAGUUGCUCAAUCCACAUUGAUUCUAUCUUUUAUCAACAGCAAAAUAUCAUUGCAAGAGUGCCAUGUAGCCUUUGGUGUAUUUUAUUUUAUUUAAAUAUUUGUCAUGGAUUCAAUGAUUAAUACGUAUUUAUUUUAUCUUUUAGUAGCAUUAAGUUAUUGUAAUAGCAUCAUGUAGCUUUAAGUCAUUGUAAUGGUGUCUUGUAGCACUUGUACUUUGUUUGAGUUGCACAUGUAUUUGUUGAAAUUAUUUAUAAAAGGAUAUUUGUCGAUUGAUUCAUUGAUUUUUUUCUCCUGAGGCAAUUAAUAAAACCAUUUUCAGCCAUAUAUAUUUGUCUACUAAUUCAUCAUUUUUUUUCCUAGAGGCGAUUAAUAAAAUGAUUAUUUUAACGAUGAAGUAGAAUCAAAUGAAUUUCAAUAAUCAUCUUCUUGGAAAUACUAAGAUUCAAUUAGAACUAAUAUUUAUUCGACUAUAAUUUAUUUUUUCCAACUGUUUUUACCCCUAAAAAAUAGUGUAUUUUUAAUGGUAAUUAGUUAGUUGAAAUUGAUAUUGCAAAUACAACUGCUAUCGAAAAUACUCUUUUUUACUACUUAAGGUGGUCAUAAAUAUCAGUCAUUAGUCACAUGUCCAUAUUAAUUUUCAAUCUAUAUUUAUGUAUUUAUGAUUGUCAAUUUCGCACCAAAUAAGCAUAUUUACGGCGGCCAAUCGGUAAAAGUGUGUUUCUAACCUGGGUAUUAGCGAUUACCAGCGACUGAUUAAGGCCAUUGGAAAAACAUAUUUUCAACAGUAUAGCACUUGUUUCAACUGCAUUCAGCAGUUAUAAAAAGUUAUUUUUCUUGUAGUAUAUUUAUACCGCACAUUUUGACUACCACUAAUUUAAGUUGCCUGAUGAACAUAUUUACCACACAUAAAAACUAAAAUAUCUGAGAUAUUUCUUUAGAUAUUUCUAUAGAUAUUUUAACAUUUUAGAUUACAAUAUUUUUCAACACUUGAUUUAAUCACCAAUCGUUGACUAUGAUGACGACAAAAAAUCUAUUUCAUUGUGCUAACCUCACAAGUGAAAAGGACUCCACAAGAGUACAAAACAGAGCCUUGAUCUAAUAAUAUUACCGAAUAUAGCAUUUUGUUUCCUUAUAAAUGGAGAGAGGUUCUGUCUUUGCACUGCAUAACAGAUAUUAAUGGCUUUACUUAUCGUCAUCAACUUCCUUAUGUGUCUCUCAAUCUUCGUCAUCUUCUUUGUUUUGACAUCAAUUUUGUUGGCCUCACCCUUGGCUGAAAGCUUUUUCUGUCAUGUAGAACGGUGAAAAUUAUUUGAUUAAUUGUGGCUCGUAGGUAAGAAUAAUUAUUGUUUUUUGUGUUCAUGUUUUUAAUUUAUUGGAUUUUAAUUCACAAUUUAUUUUAUAACAACUGAAAGAGAUUUUAUUUAGGAUAGAUUCAUUUUCUUGUUUAGUAUAUAGGAAUUUCUACUUUAAUUUAAUUGUAUCGUAAUUUUUUUUUUAUAUAUAUUGUUAUGCGGUGAAUCAAGAGACCUAGGAAGAAAAAAUUAUGGUAUUCAACUUUCAUAAGGAUUCAAUUGCUCAGUCCAUAUUAAUUCUAUCUUUUAUCAACACCAAAAUAUCAUUGCAAGAGUGCCGUGUAGCUUUUGGUGUAUUAUUUUUUAUUUAAGUAUUUGUCAAAGAUUCAAUGACUAAUACAUAUUUAUUUUAUCUUUUAGCAAUAUUAAGUCAUUGUAGUAGUAUUGUGCAAUAGGGAUGACAAAACCCCGGGCCGGGUCCGGGUAUUGCAAUGACCGGACCCUACCCGGAUGCAACCGGUCCGGGUCCAGGUCUGGGCCGGGUUUUAAUCCGAGUACCCGAAUUUUAUAUUUUUUAAUAUUAUAUGUGUAUAUAUUUUUUAUUUUUUGGUAAUUUUAUAAGUUUUAAAUUUAUUUCAAUAAAAUUUGACAUGAAAAUAUAAACUUUAAGUGUUUAAAACUUUAUAUAUGUAUAAUAAAUUAGUCAAAUAAAUAUAAAUAUUUAAAAUAAUAUAUAUUUUAUAAUAUUUUUGUAAUAAAAUCCGGGUUCUGGGUUUAUCAAGUGAUGUCCAAGACCGACCCGGCUUCAUACCCGGCCCAUAACGCCCGGGUACGGUUCGGGUCCAGACCGGGCGGGUAUUUUUGCCACCUCUAUCUUACAUCUUUAAGUCAUUGUAGUAGUGUGGUGUAGGAUUUGUAUUUUGUUUAAGUUGCACAUGUAUUUGUUGAAAUUAUUUAUAAAAGAAUAUUAUUCCACUAAUCCAUUGAUUUUUCUUUUUUCUAUGGGGCAAUUAAUAAAAUCAAUUUGGGCCAUAUAUUUGUCAAUUAAUUCAUUGAUCAUUUUCCUAGGGGUCCAGCUACCUUGCGUCAUGGGUUUGGUACCGCAGUUGUUUGUCUCUUAGCGAAUGACCCUUUAGAUUGUACUGAAUGCAUUCUGCACUAUGGUCCAAUAAUUCUCUUUCAAAUACACUUAGGUCCCCAAAUCAAUAGCUCAAUUCUUCACAUUCAAUUUAAAGCUUUUUUUAACUUCAUUAUCAUUUAUUUAUCAAACAUCACAUACCUGAUGCAGAUCCACCAGGUGUUGAGUUUCUACCAGCAUUCACUCUUGAGCUUGAUGUUGUUUCCAAGUUCUUGCAACGCUUCUGCUUGGCACAGAGAAGUAAAUUUUGUAAGUAAGUACACUCAAUCAAAUACUUCAUACUUAACAUUGAUUGCAUAUAUUAAAAAAAAUGUUAGAUGAUUAGUAAUUAACAUUUAAUUAUAGUUGAAAUAUUGUUUAUUAAAUUAGUCUAAUUGUCUAAGAACGGUCAUACAAUUAAUUUCAACAUAUAAAAAAACUAUUGCAAUAAUUUAUUUAUAUUUUGAAACAUAGCUCAACUAUGAAUUAUUAAAACUAAUAUAGCUUCACAGUUUUUGCAUCAAUAUCUCUUUUCAUCUUUCGCUUAUCUUAUCAAUUUAAAUUUAAAAUCUAUGUUAAAGAUGUUCUGUCAAUCAAUUUAGGCUAGAGAUUAAUUAAACAAUCUAGUAAGCACAUAAUAGGUAUUAUUAUUAAUUGUUCAAUUAUAAUAAACUUUCAAAUUGCAUUAAUGUGAUAAGAAGUUAUAUUUUGCAAUUAAUCGAAUCAUAUGCUAAUAAUUUGCAAUAUUUAUCAGUAUGAAAUAACUAACUUAGAAUAAAUUAAUUAAUUGAUUGAUUUUUUCUUAAAUUUGAAUAUCUUGUAUUAUCUCUAGUAACUGUUUGGUCCACUUAAUUACUAAAAUCCCACCUAACUAAAGUUUUUUGUGCAAAUGUAUAUUUACCGUAACCCACGUUCUCCAUGCUCUCUAACAAAUCUCUCAAUUAGCCACCGAAUCAUAUCCAUUAAUAGAAUAAAAAUAAAAGCCACCGAUAUUAAGCACAAUGGAUGAAUUCAUCUCUACUUCUUUUGUAUAUUCUCUCUAAAGCUUCAAACUCUAUUUUAGGGUUAUUUUCUUAAUUCUUUUGAAUCAAGCUAUAUAGAAUCUGGGGAGAUGUUUUCAAAUAUUUAUUGAAACGACCCGCCCCGAAUCAACCCAGACGAGUUUAUCUAGUCUCAUCAAAACGGACUUGAUAAUAAUUUUAUUCGUAAAGAUUCUGCCGAAAAUUCGGCAGAGUCUCCUUUAUAUAUAUAACACUCCCAAUCUACAAAUAUGAAUAUAACACUCUCAAUACAAGUCAAUAUACAACAAACUCUAGUGCUCAACAUCCUCAACCAAAAUGCUGAGUUUUAUAUCUCCAGAGUCUCAAAAGAUAAUAUUAUAACUAAUAUUAAUAUCUCAAUUUAUUCUUAAUCCCAAAAAGAAUAAUAUAACAAAAGUAUACAAUCCCAAAAGAACAAGAUGACCAAGAUAUCCUAACAAAAACAUUUAUAUCUUCUAACACCAUCACGUGACCAAGACUCAAAAUAUAUUUACAGUCGCUGGGUCGGUCUGGUGUACCUGCAACCUCCUGGUGAGGGGGGAAAAAUAUAAUAAAAACGGGAUGAGUCUAAAACUCAGUGAGAUCAGUGAGUGGAUAGUAGUUUUGAAAAUUAAUUCUUACUUUAAAAGAAAUAAUCAUAUCAUUUCCAAACAUGAUUGCACUAAACCAUAAGCGAGAAACCAGAAAUAAAUAAUUAAACAUUUAAAUCAGAUUACUAACCAUGGAAAUCAUAUCACAAUAUCAUAUAGAAUUCACAAAUCUGAAAAUCAUCACCAAACAAGUACCCAGGGAAAUAAUCUCGUCAUAUCCGGACCUCAACGGACGAGCAAUGACGUACUAUCUGGGUAACGUCACGCCCCGGAGCUACACGGAUAGACAGGGAAAUACCAUCUCAUAUCUCAUCAUAUCCGUGCAUGCAUAAUCUAGUCCCCAAAUGACAAAAACACCCAAGCACAUGGCCCAAAGCCUAUGUGUGUACUCAGACGGGCCCCAAAGGCCUGUAUCUCAUCUGUAUCAUUUGUAUCUCAAUAUCUGUUUGUAUCUUAUAUCUGUAUCUCUGUAAUCAUCAUACCGCAUGCAUAUGCCCCCAAAAGGCAAAAACGCCCAAACACAUGGCCCAAAGCCUCUAUGUGUGUUCAGACGGGCCCCAAAGGCCUCUCAUCUCAUAUCACCUGUAUUACUGUAUCUGGAGGAGAAGGAUACUGUCUAAUGAUUUCAAAAACAAUCAUUAUACUCAUAUUCACAUACCUUUUAAUCAUACUUUAAAUCAUACCACAUUCAAAUCCACUUUUCUUAUCUUUAAAAUAUUAUCAUGCUUUAUUCAAAGUCGAUACGCAAAAUCAAUAACCAAACAUUUUAAUAAAAUACCAAUGCGUGAAUAAAAAUCCAUUUCGAGGAAAUCAUUAAAUCAGAACAUUUAAAAUACUUAUUUCACAAACAUGCAUUACUAUCAUAAUUAACUAUGAAAAUAGGUUUUGUAUAUUCCACUCACAGUGACGGUGUUCACGGUCGGUUAUCGUCCACGUCCGCGGACCGGUUCUCGCUCGCGGAUCCUCCUAAAUCAAGGAAACGACAUAAUUAUUUUCCGUAAAUCGGAAUUACGGCUAAAUUUAUGCAAUAAACUCGAAACGAACAUCUAUCCAUAAUUGACAACUCCCGUGUCCAUAAAAUUACUAAAAUGCCCUUGAGUCCGUAAAUCAUUAACACAUACUCUGAAAUUGUACAACACCGAAUUACCCUCGGAAUCGUAAUUACACCCACUCCUCAAUUCUAGGAAUUACUAAAAUAUCCACAGGCUCAGAAAUUACAAAAUUGCUCUCAUAGUGUGAAAUUACCAAAAUGCCCUUGCCGGUCAACGGUCACAGGAAUUUGGUCAACGCUGGUUAGGAAGCUCAAAUCUGAAAGUUCAAAUCACGCUGAGUUCAAUGGUACCGGCGGUGAGCUCCAUGCGCGGCAACGGCGCCGGAAUCGAGCUCGACAGCCGUGAAUUCCAACAAUCGACCGGCGGCAAAAUAGUGACUCUCGGUGCCUAUGGAUGGUCGGAAAUGGAAGAGGGAGUCGUGGGGAACAAGAUCCAACCGGUGGUGUCACCCAAAACCGGCGAAAAUCCCGGCGGAGUAAAGUGAAACAAUCGCGGGUUCAAGCUUCAAUUGCCGGCGUUCCGGUUGGUUUUCGGCGGCGAGGAUGGCACGGGAACGACGGUCGGCUUCUAAGCUUCAGAUUGGUACCAAGCUCGGCUGAAACGGUGGCCGGAAAUGGGAGAUAUGGUCGGGUCAAGGUCGCCGGUUCCGGGUCGAGUUUUCGGGUCCGUAGUUGGAUCGGUUUGGCAGUUUCCCUUCACUCUCUCUCACACGUGCAUGUUUUUACCCUGUUUCCAGCUUAUUCUUUUACUUAUAAACUCCUUAACCGCCUCAUUUUCAUUUUGAAAUUCACAUAUGUUACAUUUAUUACCUUUUGUCCUUCACCUUUAAUUUCUUAAGUUUGACAUCAGUUUUGUUGGCCUCACCCUUGGCUGAAAGCUUUUUCCGUCACGUAGAUCGGUGAAAAUGAUUUGAUUAAUUGUGGCUCGUAGGUAAGAAUAAUUGAUGGUUGUCGAAGUCAGUAAAAAUAAAUACUUACUCUAAAUAAAUUGUGUAUAGUGAUUGAGCAGGGUCGUGUCCACAGAGAUCGGUAAUAUUUAAAUCUUUUUUAAAAUGUAAAUUGCAAAAUGGGGGGAUUGUUGAUAAUAAUAAAAAUCAAAUUAAAAUUGGGAAAAGCUUUAGUUGAAGGAAUUAACUCAGCUUGAUUCGACUACUGAUCAUUAAUUCAAAUAUAAAUCAUUACUACUUAUGAAUAGACCGGUUAUAGCUACUGAGACCCUCUAAUAGCUAAUCUCUCAUUAACUAGUCGAUAACCAAGGUACGACCAUUGGUUAUUUCCCUAAUCAAUAGAUAACCCUAGAUACGAUCAUAAAAUUUAAUCAAUUGACAGCCUGAAAAAUCAGAGAGACCCAAAUCCUAAUCAACAAACGCAUACGAUGGUUCAUUUAAAUUAGAUUGUUUAUUCUCAUAACACAACGCACUACUAUGCUAUUUGUCACAAAUAUUAAAAUCUUCAUACGAUGAAUCCUUUAAUUGACAAUAGAUUAAGUUGAUAAUUAAAUAGUGGCCAAUUAUCUAAUUAACAAACAUAAUCAUGACAAUAAUUUAGAGAAUAAACAAAUACCCAAAAAGUAAUAAAAUAAUUAAAGCAUAAGAAAGAUCUCACAGUAAUGAUGAAUCAAAGCUUCAUUAAUCUUCAACCAGAAUAAUAGGUUUAGUUAUUCACAGAGAAAAGAGAAAAAUUUAGAUCUAGGGUUUUUUUUUUACAAUAGAUUCCCCCCUUUAAUUCUCUCUCCCCUCUUCUCCUCUAGAGUUCUUUUUAAAAUAAAAUACUAAUAUCUAUUAUCUAAAUAUUAAAUUCGGAAUUACAAAAAUAACCAAAAAGAUAAAACACGUUAAACUAAUAACUGCAGAUCCGUAGUUGACAAUACGCGUCCACGCCUUAUCAACAAAGUUCUUCUGAAGCUCAUAAUUUCUCCAGGAAAACAAUCAUCCUAAAAAAUCAUCUUGUAGCUCAACUUUAUUACCAAUCAAUAGAAUUACACCUACAGAAAUAAAACACAAGUAAAUCACUAUUAUUAAGUGCAAAACAUCGAUAUUAAAGAAAGUAAACAAUGCAAAACUAGAGCAUAAAUUGCACUCUAACAAUAAUUAUUGUUUUUUUGUGUUCAUGUUUUUAAUUUAUUGGAUUUAGUUCACAAUUUAUUUUACAACAACUGAAAUAGAUGUUAAUUAGGAUAGAUUCAUUUUCUUGUUUAGUAUAUAGAAUUUUCUACUUUAAUUUAAUUGUAUCUUAAUUUUUUUUUUUGUUUAUAUAUUGUUAUGCAGUGAAUCAAGAGACCUAGGAAGAAAAAAUUAUGGUAUUCAACUUUCAUAAGGAUUCAAUUGCUCAGUCCACAUUAAUUCUAUCUUUUGUCAACACCAAAAUAUCAUUGGAAAGAGUGCCGCGUAGCUUUUGGUGUAUUAUCUUUUAUUUAAUUUUUUGUCAAGGAUUCAAUGACUAAUACAUAUUUAUUUUAUCUUUUAGCAACAUUAAGUCAUUGUAGUAGCAUCAUGCGGCUUUAAGUCAUUGUAGUAGUGUCGUGUAGGAUUUGUAUUUUGUUUAAGUUGCACAUGUGUUUGUUGAAAUUAUUUAUAAAAGAAUAUUAUUCCACUAAUCCAUUGAUUUUUCUUUUUUCCAUGGGGCAAUUAAUAAAAUCAAUUUGGGCCAUAUAUUUGUCAAUUAAUUCACUGAUCAUUUUCCUAGAGGGGAUUAAUAAAAUGAUAAUUUUAACGAUGAAGUAGAAUAAAAUGAGUUUCAAUAAUCAUUUUCUUCGAAAUACUAAAAUUUAAUUAGAAAUAUAAAUUUUUUCAAACUAAAAUAACAUAUUUUCAAUUGCAUAACCAAUUAGAACUAAUAUUUUUCCGAUUUUUUUUCAUCUGUUUUUACCCCUAGAAAAUAGUGUAUUUUUAAGAGUAAUCAGUUAGUUGAAAUUGAUAUUGCAAAUACAACCGCAAUCGAGAAUUCUCUCCUUUACUACUUAAACUAGAAAAUAGAACCGCGUUUCACGCGGCUUUGAAAAAAUUUAGUAUUAUCUUUUUUUCUUACUUUACACUUGAUGAAAUUGAUAAAAAAUAUGAAUUGAUUUUUUUUUUAAGAUGAGGCGGCCUUAUAAAAAAUAAAAAAAGAUAUUAGCCAGCAAUACAAAUAAAGAAGCAACGCAAGAUAAAGAAUAAAAUGAGAUAAUAUAUUAUAGAGUGAUUUUAUUCAUUCUAAUUGUGUGUGUACAAAAUAAAAAGAUGAGCUCUCCUUUUUAUAGUUACAUAAUCACUCCAUGAAAUUAAUGAAAAAUUAUGGAUCAUAAUUCAUUGUGAGAUAGUGGGAGUUAUAGGGAAGCUAAAGGUUGCUAAUGGGAGAUAGUGGGGAGACUAAGAGAUAUAUGUUAUGAACAUCUACAUUUAUUUUAAUAAAUUCAUAACACUCCCCCUUGGAUGUUCAUUACAAAGAAUAUGCCUCAUUAAAAUCUUUACAUAAUUGUUAUUGUGUAAUAACAAUCAAAUUAAUUAUGAAAAGAUGAAAAGCCAAAUCUAAAAGAAAAUUUAUCUAUUUAUUAGAUAAUAGAGAAUAUACAAAGAUGAGAAAUUGUGAUGCCACAUCACCUCCUCAAAUCCCAACUUUAUAUAUAUAUAUAGAUUGGUCAUGAAUAUGAGUCCUCAGUCACAUGUCCAUAUUAAUUUUGAGAAAUUUAUAAAAAUGACCAUAGAACUUUUACGUUUUUCAACUUUAACCCCCCAAAAUUUUUUCUAUCAUAACUAGCCAAAUAUCUUAUUUUUGGACUAGAUUACCCUCAUCACUUUCAUCAAAUUCACAAAGGUAUGCCACUUUUUCAAUUCCAGCACCACUAAAUACGAAUCUUCCUCAACAACUUAACAAACCUUCAUCACUCUCAACAAACUUCAUCACUCUCAAUAAAUCAACAAAUUCCAUCAAACAAACAUUGCAUAAUUGAAGAUACAAUCAUCAAUUGGAGAGCUUCUUAAAAUUAGUUUAUGCUCUUACACAAUGUAAACCUUUAAUCUAUUGAUUUUAUCAACUAAGUUCGAAAUUAAAGUGGGUUUUGUUGCAAAUGUUGUUAUUUUUCAUUCAUAAAACAAUGUGAUUUGUUAAAGUACUUAGUUUGAGUUGAGAAAUGAAGAAAAAUCAUUAAAAAUACAGAAAAAUCGGGCAAAAAAUGAAGUCCAAAACAAGUGAGACAAGCAGUGAGACAUGUGUCUGUCUCACAUAAACCCACUGAUUUUAUGGAAUAUAUGAUUUUGGAUUUGAUUUGUCUCGUCGUAAGCUUCGAAACGGUAUAAUUAUUACAAUAUUUUGGCUCACUACUCCGAACCCCAAUACACAUAAUCUCUCAAAUCACUAGAACAAGAGCUUUUAUUAUUUAAGCUCUACAAAACUCUCUGCUCUACAGGAAAUGCUUCUCACAAAAUUGGAUGCAGAAAUGAGGAGGAGGAACCUCUUUUUAUACCAAAACUUGGCUACUGUUCAUGCUUUAUUUAAUUAUUAUUUUUUUUCUUCUUCCUUUUCGGUCCGGCAUUCAUUUUUUCUUCCUCUUUUGUCUUCUUUCUUCUUUUCUUUUGUUCCGGUCAAAGAAGCAACCAAUGCAUUCUUCUUCAAAAUCAGUGGGCCCACCUUCUAGAAGGGUGGUGCCCACAUGCCAUUUUCAUCAUUAAAUAGAUGAGGGUUGGAAUAGAAUCUUUUCAAUGUGAAUCAUGAAGGAUCUAUUCAAAAUAAAAGUGAUAAAGAUUAAGAAAGAACUUAAGAAGCUAAGAGCUUUUAGAAGUCUUUGAAGAAAUAAUAUUAAUUUGAAAGGAAAAGAAUUUAAAAUGAAGAAGAAAAAGAUAAUUGAUAAGAAGUAAGACUAACUGUACAUCUGAUUGAGGAACAGGCUUGUUAAUUCAAACUAUUAUAACCAAUUGGGAAUUGAAUUAAGUUAACAGUUAACUCGUAAUUGAAUGUCUAAACUAACAAUGUAUACAAUUACAGAUGAGACUAUAAAAUUGCAAAAAUACUGCUGAUUGUGAAUCAAUUUGAACAUGCCAAUCCUUAGGAAUUCCUUUCAGUAUCAUGGGAUUUAGAUCUCAAUUACCUUUUUUAUUUGAGUACGAUGACAUCCCGAACUAUCAAAAAUACCCACUUGUCCAAACGUGCCUAUGUCCACUUUAUCAUUUAUAUAUGAAAUGUUCUAAUUAAAUGGAGCAAGUCCACAUAAUACAAUCAUUUUCAAUUACCCAGCAUUUGGAAUACAGAUGCUUUGUUUCUUCGUUUUUUUUAUUUUUUGUUCUUUUUUAUUUACUUGAUACAACUAAUAAGUAAACUCAUAGCAUUUUCUAUCACCUCUUUUUUUUUUGGGAGUAUUAGUAAAUCAACUCUGUAAUGCUCUGCCUCUUUACCAUAAAAGCUGCAUUUUAAUGGCAUCAGCUUACAGUUAUGUGUACUAAGUAAAACAAUUCUUUAUUGUGACAUUUUCAUCCUCCAGAAAAUACAUAAAUAAAAUAAAGGAAAUUUUAUUUUUGUUAAAAUCCAUGAAUAUUAAUUACUACCUUGUUCACUGUUCAGUAAAAAUAAAACAACAGUUUUUUUUUUUUUUAAUUUAACAAUAUUGUGUUAGAAUAUACUUCCCAGGUAAGGUUGAUAGAAAAAACCAAAUUUCAAUCAGUAUUGGGAUUCUGUCCCAAAACAAGCACUUACUUAUUACAACUUUUACUAACUUAUUUUUCCACCACACAAUUUACUCAAUUUUUAUUUAUACCACACAAUUUAACUUAUUUUAACUACCACUAACUUAAGUUACUUGGCUAGGGUAAAAUUAUGUUGCAACUGUGGUAUGAUACCACAAUUACAAUCAAUCAUUAAAUUUACAGUUGUACAAUUGUAUUUAUUGGACCUAAUGAUUAAAAGUAACUGUGGUAUCUUGCAACAUAAUUGGACCUACUUUGCUAACAUAUUAUAGAAACCAACAUCCCAGAUUUUUCUUAAGAUAUUUCUACAGAUAUUUUAACAUUUUAGAUUAUAAAUUACUUUUCAACACUUAAUUUAAUCACUGAUUGUUGACGACGACGAAGCCAACAAAUUUGUUUCGUUGUGCUAAUCGGACAAGCGAUAAGGACUUCACAAGAGUACAAAACAGAGCCUCGAUCUAAUAAUAUUACUGAACAUAGCAUUUUUGUUUCCUUAUUAAUGGAUUUGUUUCCUUAUUAAUGGAGAGAAGCAGUUCUGUUUUUGCAGUGAUUAAGCGCAUAGAAGAUAUUAAUGGCUUUACUUAUCAUCAUCAACUUCCUUUUGUGUCUCCCCUUCUUCCUCUUCUUCUUUGCUUUGCAAAGGCUCAUAACCUCAAGAAAUAAUACUAAAUUACCACCCGGCCCCUGGGGCCUUCCCUUAAUCGGUAACUUACACCAGUUUGAUGUCUCAAAGCCUCAAGUGUCAUUUUGGGAGCUGUCACGGAAAUAUGGCCCCCUCAUGUCCUUGCGUCUUGGUUUUGUGCCAUCCCUAGUAGUUUCCUCAGCAAAACUGGCUAAAGAGAUAUUAAAAACCCAUGACCUUCAAUUUUGUAGCAGGCCAGCCUUGGUAGGACAACAAAAGUUAUCUUACAAUGGUCUUGAUUUGGCGUUUUCACCCUAUGAUGGUUAUUGGAGAGAGAUAAGAAAAAUUUGUGUCAUUCAUCUCUUUAACUCUAACAGGGUAGAAAAUUUUCGACCCAUUAGAGAAGAUGAAGUUUCAAGAAUGAUUGAAAAGAUUUCAAAAUCAGUUGCUGCUUCUAAUCCCGUAAACUUAAGCGAGGUAAUGAUGUCUCUUACCAGCACCAUUAUUUGUAGAAUUGGAUUUGGCAAGAGGUAUGAUGACGAUAAAGCAACAAGUGCAAGAAGUAGAUUCCAUGCCCUGCUUAAUGAAACUCAAGCCUUGUUUGUAAGCUUUUUUGUUACAGAUUAUUUUCCUUUCAUGGGCUGGAUUGAUAAGCUCACAGGAAUGAUGCAACGCCUGCAAAAUAACUUCCAAGAACUCGAUAGAUUCUACCAGGAACUCAUCGACGAGCAUUUGGAUCCAAACAGAACAAAAUCAGAAUUGGCGCAACAGGAGGAUAUAAUUGAUGUUUUACUUCAAAUACGAAAAGAUCGUGGAUUUAAAGUUGACUUGACUUUGGACCACAUCAAAGCGGUGCUCAUGGUGAAUAAUUUUAUAAAUAGUUAUAUGUAGACUCGUGCUCAGGCGCAGACUUAAAAUUUUGUGCAGAUACCCAAUUUUACAGUCUUGUAAAAUGGUUUAUAAUGCUGUAAAGUGCCUUUGAUGUCCGCCUGAACAUGAUUAAUUUAAUGUAAUUUUAUUUGCUUUUAACUAAUUUACUAUGUAUGUAUGUAUGUUGUUUGUUUUGCAGAACGUACUCGUUGCUGGAACAGACACGAGUGCAGCAACUGUGGUUUGGGCCAUGACUUACCUAAUGAAGAAUCCUAGAGCAAUGAAAAAAGUUCAACUGGAAAUCAGAUCGUUGAUUGGGUGCAACAAAGGCUUUGUAAAUGAAGAUGAUGUUCAAGAACUGCAUUAUCUUAAAGCGGUAGUGAAGGAGACAAUGAGAUUGCAACCCACAGUACCAUUACUAAUCCCAAGAGAAACAAUUCAAAAGUGCGUAAUAGAUGGGUAUGAAAUACCAGCUAAAACACUUGUCUUUGUAAAUGCAUGGGCGAUAGGAAGAGACCCUGAAGCUUGGGAGAAUCCGGAGGAAUUUUAUCCGGAGAGAUUCGUUGAUAGCUGUAUUGACUUUAAAGGGCAACACUUUGAAUUAAUACCGUUUGGUGCUGGCAGAAGAAUUUGUCCUGGGUUGAAUAUGGGAAUCGCAACUGUGGAUCUCGCACUUGCUAAUCUUCUUUACAAAUUUGAUUGGGAAAUGCCGCCUGGAAUGAAGAGCCAAGACUUGGACUUUGAUGUUCUGCCGGGAAUUACUAUGCAUAAGAAGAAUGCUCUCUCUCUUUCGGCUAAGUAUCAUGAGUAGGUAAAUUAAGGCACCUCGGACAAUAAGAGUUUGAUCUGAACUAAAUAUAUGUUAUAGAGAUUGCAUGUAUGUCCUGAAUUGUGCUUCUCAUGUUUCCUUUCUUUCUUCUUAUGUAUAAUGAAUGUUGAUGUCUAAGUGCCCAUAGGCUGAGUGGUUUUUAAUAAUUAAAUUUCUUUUAGUUCAAAAUUUUGGGAGGUAAGGACUAGAGAAUAAUAGUUACUCUGCUCACUCUCCUAUACUAAAAAAAAAAGGUUGAUAUGAAUGUGAAUAUUAAUCUAGUACGUUCAUUUCAUCUCAUAUUUUUUCUCCUAUAUUUUUUUCUUUAAAUUUAACUUCUAUCACUUAACCUGCUAUCUUUUUAUAUGAUUGGAUAGAGAUUGAAAUUUUUGCUGUUCCAUCUCAAUGUUAAUGCUUAUAUUAUCUUCACACCUUUACUGUAAUUUUUUACUUUUACUAUUAGAUGCUGAUAGGGUCUUUUCUUGGAGAUUGCUUCACAAAAAAAAUUCUGAAAGAAGAUUUUGUUGAUCGGAUAGCAAGCUUAUCCAUAUAGUUUAAUGGAUUAUCUGCAAGAGCUCUUUUUAGUGCGCAUACAGUUGUCCCUUCAUGUUAGCAUAUUCAUUCUGUCGUCAAUGAACUUUUGCAUUUAAAUGGUAUCAGUUCAAGUGAUGAAUGAAUUUUACCUAUUGCCUAUCUUGGACUAAAUUUAAUUUCAAAAAAUGAGCUUCCAGCUUAUGACUUAUACGUAUCUUGCACUUUGGUUUUACGAUCACCAUUGGAUGGAAGAGUGGCUCGAGUUUGUUAAUUGCUUCAGUCCCAGGACUAGUGUUUGGAAACAUAAAAUUUCUCAGUUCAGCAGCUAUAAAUCUGUUUCAUGAUUGUUAUUGCACACUAUUUCCUAUAUUUUUGUCUCCAUGCUCAUACUGAAUUAGUGGUGCAUUUGUCAUCUUUCGCCUCUCAUUAAAAUGUGCUUAUUAUUUUUUAUUUCAAUCGUAGGAUGGGAAGAUUGAUACUGAUUCCAUCUACAAUGGGUUUAAAGACAACGUGAGGUUAAUGUGGGAGCGUUUCUUGUCAUCCCAGCAAAUGUUGACAUAAACAACAGACUGCAAGCUUCCCCUACUCUCUGUUCAUAUUUGCAUUUGUGUGCAUCUUGUACUUGUUGUUGCAGAAAGAUGAAUAUGUAAGAAUAAGAUCGUGUUUGUAUGCAAUGGUCAAAUGUUUUUGCAAAAAAUGUCGUUGCUUGAGUUCCUCAAUUCUCAUUCUGAACUUCAAAUUUUGUACAUUUCUUUAACUUAAUUUUUUUUUUUUCUGUGUAAUAGUAGUAUAAGUUUGGUAUCAAAAUUAAGCUAGUGACAUACUUGGAUCACUUGGGAUCCACUUGCAAAUGUAUUUUGAAGAAAAGUUUUCUCCCCGCCUUUUAUGUAAUCACACCCACCAGUAAUAUGGUAAUUUAUUGAAAGGUCCUUGAUGCCCGGUAAAAGUUAUAAUUAAAUUAAUAAACUUAUCUUUUUAAAUUAAUAAACUCAUCUUUUUGAAUAAGUUCAUCAUUUUGUACGUAUAUUAGUUUUUUUUUUUUAAAUUCCUUUUAUUUCUAAACUAUUGGUUGGAAGCAAAUAUUUCACUGUAAUCUCCUGUCGACCAAAGGAGAUGCCUUUCCCAAAGCAAGAAAAGAAAACACAAAAAGCCCACUUCAAAAACUUGUGCAAGAAGGAGAUGUGAUUACGCUGUCUUUCUGUUUCUUGGUGCGUGUAUAGAUAUAUACAUACACACAUAAGUCUGAGGACCAGCUGGCCAACAGCCCACUAGGAAGCAAUUUUAAAAUUUUUGGUCAGUAUUGUUCUUUAUAUCUUAUGAAUUUUUCCUUCAAUUAUUAUAUUUUCACUCAGUUUUGUUUUUGGGCACGCGUUAUGUGAUUUUCUUUUGAUGAUUUCCGUGGCUUCUUUUUAGCUCUUAUUUUACUGUUUCUACUGGUUAGUUUAGCUACUGUCUACUGAGAUAAAAUUAUUUGCUUGAAUAACUUAAUCUUUUGCUAUUUUAUUACGUUCAGUUUAUAUACAGUUGAUUCAUUGUAACAAAUGUUAUCAUAAAUGAUUCUUGAGUAAUUUCAUUUAUUUACUUUUUCUUCUUUCAUAGUUGGCCUGUACGGUAUCAUUUACUUUUAUCUUUUUUCAAAUUUCUUUUAAUCUACAGAAUGUUUGUUUUAGUCCUGAUCUUGGGUUACUGAAAUGUUUCAUUCCCUUUUCCUAAGUAUUUUUGUUGCUUGUUUAUCGGGCAAUACUGCAACAGUGAUUUUAAUUCACAAAAUUCUGUAAAUACUUAUUAUUCUUAGUGUGGUUUUAAGGUAGAGUGAAGUUAAUAUUAUCAUAAUGGCUUACAUUCCUCCACAUAUGAGGCAUACGAAGGACCCCCAGAGGCCAUCUCCAGUUCCAGAGAUGAUUGUGCCUAAAUUCAACAGAAAAUUAAACUUGGGAUCAUCCAAGCAUAAUGCAGACAUAAGUGGAAAGAUCGUGUAUGCAGAUCCUGCCAUACACAGGUGGUUCAUUUGUGGCUUGGAUAAUGAUAGCAGCAGUCCUUCUGUCCGCUUUGUGGAGUUUUCAGACGACCCUGUUGAGCAUAAAAAAUCGACGACCAUUAAUCUGGCUCGAGGUUACUGAUCUGCAUUUGUAAUUUUAUCUUAAAUAUGUUCUACUUUCUUUCUUUAUUUAUAUCUGGUGCUAACUUUAGUUAUAUUGACAUUUGGAUUUUGGGUUGGUAGAUAACGAUAAAUUGUGUGGGAAUACAUCAAGAAGCCCAUGGGAAUCGAUAGCAGAAAAUGUAUGGCCAGAUGUAUUGAGUGCUUGUAAUAUUGUCAAGAACGAAAUGGAGGAAAAGCCAACAAUGGUUGCUAGAUUUGGCCAUCAUCUUUUCCGUGAGUAUGUGAUCUGGUUCCAUUGCUGUAACAGCUUGAAUUUUUUAUUAGGUCAUUCCUUUUCUUUGGACUUUGAAAUUAAAGCAGCAAAAAUGCAUAUUCAUACUUAAUUCUGACAGAAAUCUUAUGGUCAUAUAAGUGGUGGCAGCUAAAAUUAUGAGCUUUACCAUUAACCCUACCACCAGCUGUGGAUGACUGUAAAUCGGAUCUCUAAACCAGGGACAAAAGUUAAAAUUGCUUUUAAAAGCCAAAGAGGAAAAUGGCAAUUUAUAGUGCAUGCACUUCUUUCAGACUUGUAUCUCAUAGAAGCUUUCAUGGCAUCUGGAAUUUGGCUUUGGCUUUGCGUAGGACAUUUCAAUUGUUGCUGGUGGAAACAAAUAUAUCCAUUGUCUUAGUUUUGCUUGAUUUCCGGUGCAAGAAACAAAUAAAUUUGUUGCCGUGGCCAAGUUUUGUUGUUUGAUAUUUCAUUGGGACAACAAAGUAUACCACUGCUUCGCCUAUUUCUUACAUCUUUGCAUCAUAUAUUUCCAUUCUUCUAUCACAUCUUUGAAGCUUCUACUAGUUCUCAUAUUAGAAGCGCCUCAAAGAAAUAAUUAUUAUAUUAUUCGUCUUAAUGAAGGAGUGACAUACUGAGCUUAGAAAAUGCGAAAGAAGGUCAGGUUGCUGAAUCUGCUUUGAGCCCACUGAGGAGAUGCUUUUACACUGGUGUCCCUCCUACAUACAUGGGAAAAAUUGUAAAUGAAGUUGUGCCAAAAAUUGGGGUUGGUUUUGUAGAGAACAAGGAUAUAUACCAUGUCAAGGUAGUUCUCCUGCAGUCCUGCUAAAUACUUUAGUAGUCAUGACCAAGUUUCUUUUAUCUCUCAAUUAAUUAGCCAUUGAUUCCCCCCCCCCCUUUCUUUUUCUUGUGUAGUUGUCUGAUGGCACACGACAAAUUACGUGCAAAUGUACUGUUAAAGAAGAUCAAAAGCUUCAUCUCUAUAAGGCAAGUCUUUUGCUACUGGCUGAGUAUUAUUUAUGGACAACGGGUCCAAGUUUAUAAGUUGCCUCUUGUGUUAAGGAGACUUUUGCUAGUGGAAACAUUGAAACAAGACUUAUGAUGUUUUGAUUUGAAUGAUAUAAUCUUUUCACUGUGAAUUAUGAAGGAGAUGUCGAAUAUAAGCGAUAGAUAUCAAGAAAGAGACGAAACCUUUGUGUCUCAAAAGAACCUUUUAGAAGUCUCUCCAGGAAUAAUCUCAGUUAAGAGGAAAAGAAUUUAAAAUGAAAAGAAGGAAGAAAAUUCUCAAGAAGUAAGACUAAUUCUACAUCUAAUUGAGGAACAGGCUUGUUAAUUUAACAAGGAAAGCUCCAGUAGCUAUUUAUUAUAAACCAAUUAAAAAUUGAAUUAAAUUAAUAGUUAACUUGUAAUUGAAUGUCUAAUCCAACAAACUAUGCAUAAGAUUACAGACGUAACUAUGUAAUACAAAAAACCUCUGCUUAUUGUAGACCAAAGUGAAUAUGCCAAUAUUUAGGAAUUUCUUUCAGCAUCAUGGGAUUUAGAUCCCUAUAAUCUUUUUUUAUUUUAGUGUAGUGACGUCCGGAAGACCAGAAUUAUCACGUACCUCGUACUAGUCGUUUUAUUUAUUUUGUCUUUUAAAGCGCCACAUUAUUUCCCAUACAGUCAUAAUAUAUCUAUUUUUUGUUUAUUUAUCGUUGCCGUGUGUGGAGUCUCAUCUUGAAUAUGAACAUUUUUCCGGUAGGUCGAACUGAACUCUGUUCGUCACAUGGUAGCAGACAUGUUAUGCGUUCAUAAAAAUCUAGACCUGAGGUUGGCACUAUGUUCAAAGAGUACCUUAUCUGCUCUCUCGGUAAGUCAAUCUGCUCCUCCGUGCAUGUUUUAGCUGGACUUUUAAGUUACGCCUUCUUUUUUCCCCUUUUUAUUUUAUUUGGUCAUUUGCUUGUUGGAAUCAUCAUCAUUACAGAAUGAUGAAGAAAAAUUCAAGACCAGGGGAAAUAAGGAAAUAUUAAACUUAUAGCUUUUGUUUUAUCAUAGAAAGUUUACUUUCAAGGGGUUGAGAAAAAAUUUAUAUAUAUAUAUAUACACACACACAUACACACACACACACACACACACACGACAAGCUUAAAACGGUUAAACAUUAGCAUGCAUGAUCCUUUUCUUCAAAACUGAAACUUUACAAAUGUUAAAAAUAGAAUAACAAAUAAAUUAUUAGAUUUCCAAAAUCAGUUACCGUUAUGCAGGCUUAAAACAAAAGUUAAAUAUAAGCUCUUUUUUUUUUUUUUGGGGGGGGGGGGGGGGGGGGGGCGUGUGUGCCUAUGAGUAGUCCCAGCAAAUGAAUUCUAUGAUCAAACUGAAAUUUUUGAAUUUUCAGGAUGAUGAAAUGAACAGCAUUAGAAUUCUGAUUAAUUCAGCCAUUCCGGAUCCGGAAGUCAAGGGUGGGUUAAGAUGGCCCAUGGGGAAGUCAUAUUCAGGGGAUUACACAAUUGUUGGGGUUUGGCACAAUGAAUUUAAAUCAUAUAAAAGCCCAUCACUAAAGCUUAAGGUAAGAAAUGUUGAUCGAUUUAUUUUCAAGACUGGAACUGGGGAAGCUACGAUUGAGAUUAAUCUAAAGUUGAGAAGACUAGUUUCAGAGAUUCAGGUACUUGCUGCUUUUUGCUUUAACUUUUAUCACAAAACCUACUAUCUUUGUGCAUGAUUACAUGGAUCUUGAAAUUCUUGCUGUUAUGUCAUAAUGUUAAUGCAUAUUUUGUCUUCACGCAUUUCUUACUGAACUUGUGUCUUGAGCUGUAAUUGUAAUUUCCAAUUUUUACUAUUAGAUGGGUAUUUUAUUGGGGAUUUCUUUACUUAAAAAAAAAAUAUGUUUGACAGAGAAUAUUUUAACGAUGAGAUUGCAAUAUUGUAAUAGAUAAUCUUCAGGAACUCUUUUUACCUUUUAGUAGUUAUGCAGUUGCUCCUCUGUGUUAGCUUAUUUAUUCUAUCAUAUGUAACGAAUGACUUUUUACCAAAUUUGAUUUCAAAGCUGAGCUUCCAGCUUAUGACUAAUAUUUGUGUCUUGCACUUUUGUUUUACAAUCACCAUUAGAUGGAAGAGUGCUUAGAGUUAGUUAAUUGAUUCAAUCCCAGGAUUAGUCUUUUGAAACAUAAAAUUUAUCGGCUAAGCUAUAUAAAUCUGUUUCAUGUUUCUUAUCGCACACUAUUUCGUAUGGCUUUGUCUCCAUGCUCAUACAAAAUUAGUGUUGUAUUAGAUGUCUUCUGUCUUUCAUUCACAUGUACUUAUUACUUUUUCUUUCAAUCGUCAGGAUGGGGAGAUUGAUACUGAUUCCAUCUACAAUGGGUUUAACGACAACUUGAGGUUAAUAUGGGACCAUUUCUUGUCAUGGGAGUCAUAACUUUUGACAAAAACAACAGAUUGCAUGCUCUCCCCGCUCGGUUCAUAUUUGCGUUUGUGUGCAUCCUGCAGUUGAAGAUGUAGAAUGAUGUAAAUGCAAGAAUAAGAGCAUGUUCGUAUCCAAUGGUAAAAUGUUUUUGCUAAAAUGUAUGGACUUGUAACAGCUUGUUGCGUGAGUUUCUCAAUCUCCUGAACCUCAAAUUUUGUCCUAUUUUCACCCCGGCUUUUUCCCCCCGUCCUCUGUAAUAGUUAUAUUUGGUAUAAGUUUGGCAGUUCCUGUGUAAAGUGUUUCAUAUUCAUGUGUGGAAUAAAUAUCAACAUCCAGAUACAAGAAAGUUUGAUUUUAUUUGUAAGACCUGUCUCUCAAAGUUAAUCUAGUGACAUGCUUGAAGCACUUGGGAUCCACUAGUUGGAUGUAUUUUUGUUAAGAUUUAUUUAGCAUUUUGUAUGUGUAUCAGUGCCUUUUUUUUUUGUUGUUAAACCGUUGGUUAGAGGGCAAAUAUUUCACAUUAAAGUGGGGUCUGCUUGCCACCAAGGGAGAUGCCUUUCCCAAAGCAAGAAACGAAAACUCAAAAGCCCACUUCAUAACUUGUGUAAGAAGGAGAUGUAAUUGACAUAUGCUGUCCUUUUUCUUGGUGCGUGUAUGUGUGUGUAUACACACUUAAUUCCGAAGAUCAACUGAGCCAACAGCCAAAACUUGAAAGCAAUUUUAAAAUUUUCGGUUAGUAUUGUACUUUAUAUCUUUUGAAUUUCUCUUUAAUUUAUUAUAUUUUCACUUUAGUUUUGUUUCUGGGUACUCUUUAUGGGCCACAAUUAUGGUACCACUGUGGUACCAUACCACAGCUGGAUCCAGCCAUUGGAUCCGGCCUACAGUGGUCCCCAUAGCUGGAUCCAAUGGCUGGAUCCAGCUGUGGUAUGGUACCACAGUGGUACCAUAGCCGGACCCCUCUUUAUGUGCUUUUCUUCGAUGAUUUUGGUGAGCUCAUAUUUUACUGUUUCCACUGGUUAGUUUAGUUAUUGUCUACUAAGAUAAAAUUAUUUGCUUCAAUAACAUAGAGUAUUGAGGUGUUGUAAUUUAAAAUUUUAGAAAAAAAUAUAUUUAUAAAAUAAAAGUUAAUAGUAUGUGGUAAAUAUAAUUUUAAAAUAAUAAUUUUAAUAAAAUUAGUAAAGAUAUAAUAGAUUUUCAUCAUAUAAAAGUAAAAUCAAAUCAACUUAAUUUCUAAACUACAUAAAUUAAUUUUUAUAAAACACUUUAGUGCUGUAACUACCCAACCUCAAUCUAAAGUAUAGCCUUAAUUGUUUGCUAUUUUAUUAUGUGAUUGUAUAUAGAGUUAAUUAAUUGUAUCAAAUGUCAUUAUAAAUGAUGCAUGAGCAAUUUCAUAUUGUUUUUCUUUCCUUCAUUGAUAAUUGGCUUGUCGGAUAUCUUUGAACUUUUUUUUUUCGCCUCAAAGUUCUUUUAGUCUGCAGAAUGUUGGUUUUAGUUUCGAUCUUGGUUACUGCAAUAUUUCAUUCAUUCUUUCUAAGCAUAGUGGGUUCAUUUCACAAAAUUCUGUAAUAAGUACUUAUUGUAGUUUAAGGUAGCGCGAAGUAAUAUUAUCGUAAUGUCUUACAUUCCACCACAUAAGCAGCAGUUUGUAAUCAAGACUGCAGAGAAUCUUGCAGAUAUAUUGACUAAGGUGGUGACGACAAUUAAGUUUGAGCAUUAUCUAAACUUGAUCAAUAUCUUACAAGUUUGAAAAUAGUCAGAGAAGACAGAGACUGGAGGAUGGUUUGUUGAUAGUCGGCUCAGAUUUACUAAAUUUUCGUUAAGGUAGAGAAUUGUUGAAAAAUCAAGCAUGCUUGCAUGAGCUAGCUAGCAUGCAAAUUUCAAGCCCACCAAUGUUCAGCUAGCGUGAUCCAAUUGCAUGUGCUAGCAUGAUCUCUUCGUCAAAAGUCACACCAAAGCCAUUAAAAUUGAAAAUGGCCAAAGUUUUUUUUUCAUGCAUUUAUAUUGUAAGAUUUGCCUAUAAAUAGAGGAGUAGAAUGCAUUUGUAAAGCAUCCCAAUUUGUGAGAAGUAGAGAGCAAUUGCAAGUGAGCUCUUUGAGAGAAUUUGAGAGAGCUUCCACUUGAGUGUUCUAGUUGUUGUGCAAAUUUUAAUGUACUCGCAAGCGCACGAAUCUAUUGUAGUAUAGAUCAAUGGUGACGAGUGUCGAUCCCACGAGGAGGUGGAUUUUAAUUGUGUAUAGAAUUAAUUUUGUAAAUGGGUGGUUGGAUCUGUGGUGGAAAUGAAUUGGAAUAUGCUAAAACUUAAAUUAAAAUGGCGAGAAUAAAUUCUAAAAUUGGAAUUGCAAUGGCGAGAAUAAAUUGAAGAGAAAUGUAUUGAAAUGACGUACUUGGGUAUCUGGAUCCGUAUCAACAUGCAUCAUGGGCUAAAUAAUCCGUAUUAAUGCCAAUUAAAUCAUGAGGGGGGAAUCCACACCUCAUGAACCACGCUCUAAUCAAUAUGGUGCUAAGGGCUUAUCGUGCCAAAUAAUAAUAACCUUAUACUAGAGAGCCGGUGUAACCAAGGCGGUAUCUAGACAAGAUCAGUAUUAUUUGUCGACGAUAAGUCAAAUCAUCCACAAAAACUAGAGGGGAAAAGAAAAUAAAUUUACCAAAUAAAGCCCAUGACACAUGUUGAGACUUCACCUUCAACCCAAGCUUGAAAGGAAAUUAGCUACUCAUAAUUGAACUAGGGGCAAAAUGAAAAUUUAUUAAAAUACGAAGAAAAUACAAGAUGGAGAAGGAAUUACAGAAAAUGGAUCCCAAAAAUGGAUUCAGAGAUAUCAAAUUAGGGGGGGGAGGCCCCUUUUUUAUAGAUACAUGGAGUAAAUCAUGGCCAUCGGAUUAAAAACAGUUUGGACGCUCAGGAUUGCGCCACGUCAUCAGUCAACAGUCCACGGUUUGACCACGCGGAUGAACAGUAACACGGUUUGACCACGCGGAUGAACAGUAACGCGGUUUGGUUGAAAAUAAUCCUGUGUGAUGCAUGCACCGUACGCGAGAUUUUUCGUCCACUGAUAUGCUGCCACGUCACCAUCAACAGUACAUAAGAAUUUUAGUCCAACAGGAUCGUGACACCUCAUCAGUCAAUGCCACAUCAUCGGUCAAUGCCACGUCAUCGAUCCGUCUAUGUGAACAGUGUCGUGAACAGUAACGUAGACAGUACCGUAUACGUGAAUAGUACCGUACAUGUGAAUAGUGCCAUUUUUCUUUUUAUGCCCCUCCUAAGGUUUUCGACCGUCCUGAGUUCAAAAGUGAUGUCCGUUUUGCCAUCUGAUCUCUCCUUUAUUGUGAAAUAACUAUAAUGCCCCUAAAAUACAUAAAAUACUUAAUUAAAAUAAAACACAUGUAAUUAAAUCACAAGAAGGUUAAAUACAUAAAAGUAAGGGUUUUUAAUAAGACUUGAAAUGUAAAAUGACGGUUUUCUCCUUUAUAAAUAUGCAUUUUCUAACACUCAACACACCCCCCAACCAGCUUAUUGCUAGUCCCUAGCAAAUAAAGCGAAAACAAAAUUCAAAUUCAAAAUGAUUUUUUUUUUUUUUUUGAACUACUCGUGUUUAUUCAAUCAGAUUAAUGAUAGCAAUCAAAUAAAAGUAUAAGCAUUAUCUCCAGUCUAAAGCAACAUCACACCCACAUCAACCAUCCACAUGAAUUAGCCCAGUAGACUUUGUUAUAGCUACUUUCAAGAAUGACAUGUCAAACCCCAAAAUCUCACUUGAAGUAGUGACACUCUCACAAAGAAAUUAAAACCCAAUAAACAUAGUCACUCCAAUGAAUGGUAAUUGAGAGAGAAAAUAAUAAAGAAAUGAUAUCACAUGCUCUCACCAAGAUGAAAUAAAUAUGCCCUCAGCUUAGAAAUAAUGCGAUCUCAAGUCAAAUAAAAUGUUAGUCAACCCACUUUAUUUAUCUUUUUUUUUUAUUAUUAUUAUGCAUCACUACAUCUUUUUAGCCCAUAUAACUAGCUUCUACUUCAAACUAUAGUUCCCUAAAAUCAAGAAGGACUUUUAUUAGGACGUAACGUAGGCUAGGGAUAUGGCUAACAAAGAAAGGAAAUAAGGAAAACAAAGUGUAUGUUUGAAAAAAAUGCAGAAUUUUUUUUUUUUUUUUUUUUUUGGAACUUGCAAGGUGGAUUUCACCUAUUAUUGUUAUUUUUAUUCUUUUGAAACAACAACUUUUGUUUUUGUUUUUGUUUUUUUUGUUUUUUUUUUUUGCUUUUAUUUGGCAUAACUUCACUGAACAACAUAAUUAUUUACAUUUUCUCAAACAUAAAUAGGUGAUGGAACUUAAAAGACAUUGGGUAAUACUCCAAAUCGGAGUGGGUCAAGAUGAUAAGUUGACAAAGAAAAGGUUUUUGUUCUUUUUUUUUUUUUUUUUUUUUUUUUUUUUUUUAAGGCUCAAAAGGGGUAACUAUGGAUAUUUAAUAAAAGGGAUGGCUAGAAAGGCUCAAACGGAUCAAAGAUGGCCUUUCUAUCGUCUUUUAGGGCUCUAAAUAAUUAUCCAUAUCUACUAGUUAGAUGGGCCUCCCAAUGUAGCAACACACAUUUUUUUCUUUUUUCUUUUUUUUUUUAAUUUUACCAUAUUUUUUUUUUUUUAAAAGGGUUAACUUAAAAGAAAUCUAGAGAUCGUGUAUAAAAUAAUAAACUGCUAAGCUGUAUAGAGAAUGGGUAAAAGGGUUACUCUCCAAGAAAAUGAUAGGCUCAACUACUCACUUGGCACUUAUUUAUGACAUGUUCAUUCCUUCAAGCAACUCAUAUUUGUCUCCGACAUCAACAUGUAAAGUAGCAAACAUAGCGUAACAUCACUUAAGACCAAAGAUAAUACAAAUACUAAAAUUUGAAAUUAGUCAUGUCAUCCAAUGUUAAAACAAAUAACACAAUUUUUUUUAAACAACAUUCUACCCCCCAACCUAUUCUAAACAUGAAAGGAAAAUAUGCAUGCAGAAAUGUGAAAAUGAUGUAGAAAAAUUAAUUAGAAAAAGAAUUUUUUUUUUUUUUUUUAAACUAAGAAGAUGCGUUUCUAGAGGCACUACACUCCAUAUUCAGCCAUCUUCGACUCAAAAAUUUGAAACUACAUAUUUAUAAAGGAGAAAGAGGAAGAAAACAGGUUUUUUUUUUUUUUUUUUUUAAAACGAUGAAGAUGCGUUUCUAGAGUAACUACACUCCAUAUUCAGCCAUCUUCAACAUAAAAUGUUAGCAACAGUUAGUUUCUACAACAAAAAAUCAGUAAAAACUUAACCAAGAUUCCACAAUUGUCGACUAUUCCCUUCCCCCAACUAGAACGAAACAUUGUCCUCAAUGUUUUAAAGGAAAGAAGUAGAGUUUAGAAGACAUCACCUGGGUGGUGCAACACAGAAGAAAAUAUUUACAAGCGGAGAGUUAAAUCUAAUUUGUACUUCUUACUGCGGCUACUGUUACCAUCAUUAUUUGGUCGCUCCAACACAAAGGUCCAGGGGUCUGGCUCCGGUUUAUAAGCUUGUAACAUAUCAAGUAGCUCAUUAGCAGUGUGAGCACAAAUAAAGAGUUUUUUCACAUUAGAAGGAAUGAAAUAGUUUUUUAUUGCAUGGUUAAGAAAUGCGAUAAAGUCAUCAUAAAAGUUAUUGACAUUUAACAAACCGAUAGGUUUCUGGUGGAUGUGCAGAUGGGCCCAAGAUGCUAGUGUCAUAAGUGCCUCUAGUGUUGCAAGAUCUCCUGGAAGGAAAAUAAAAGCAUCAGCAUGAUUAAGCAUUUCAGUUAUUCUUUCUUGCAUACCUGAGACGACUAACUCUUCUCCAGUUGAUGAGUCAGACGAACUGCCCAAUGGUUUUAGGACUCUUGGGAUGAUGCCUAACACUUGACUUCCUCUGAUAAAAGCUGCUUCUGAGACCAUUUUUGAUAACCCUCGGUUACCUCCUCCAUACACCAAAUGUAAUUUUCUCGCUGCUAUGCUUCGACCAAGAUCUAUGGCUGCCUCAACGAACUCUUUAUGUUUGCCAUAGGUAAAUCCAGAAAGCACACAAAUGUUCUUGAAUUGUCUAUUGGGAGUAGCGGCCAUUGUGAUACUUCUCAAAAAUAAUUUGUGAGUGCUUGACAAAAAAUAGAUCACAUUUAAGAAUCUUGGUGACAGUGGAUCACAGCUGUGAAUGAGGUAACAUGUCAGUGUGAAAUAACGCGUGAAGCACAUGGCUUGCGAGUCAAAAAGGAAACAGUAAAAAGGAAAAAGCAAACAGUAAUAAAAUUAUUAAAGACAAUAAUGCAAACAAUAAAACAACAGUGAAAUGAAAUAAAAUAACAGUAAAGUAAAAUGAUAUUUACACGUAGUUGCGACUGUGGCUCACAUCUUCCUCUGGUUUUACGUCCAGAAACGGCUUGAACGCCCUCUAUGGGUCGAGGAUGGGCUUCCCAUCCAGUUUUCUUAUAAACUGGCAAACAGGGUCGUUUAUAGUCAGAUUCCCGAGACUAUAUCGUGCAUGCUCUUUCUGGAAUAAUGGCCAUAACCGGAGAAUCGCUCCUUGCACAUAUCCACUGGGAUGCGUUUCAAGAGACAAAAGGAUAUCAUCCAAUGACUCCUUAUUCAAGCCAUCCCUAAUGAAUUGAAUCUUAUCUUCCCUGUUAUCAGACACCAUUCCUAAAGAACAUGGGUUUCUAUCGCAACUCAUUCUGGCACACUUAUGACAAGCAACAGAAAUUCUUCGAGCUCGUCGUUUUCUUGCAUAAUUGCCUUUACCACAACCAGGCAUGUAUGCAAUAAAUUUAUGAGGUAACUCACCUGCCAAUCGUACUUUAGCCUCGAUUAACCAACGGAUGUCUGCAGGUAUGUUAUUCCUCAUGAGCAAUCGCAUGCGUUCAGACCGGGCUUUAUAGAUUGUAAGGAGGGCAUUCUGAGGAAGUGAAGGGAAUCGCUUGUGAAGCUUUGCUAAAAUCUCGUUUCUAUCCAUACCUUCGCCUCAGAAUAUCAGUUAUUAUGGGAAACUGAAGUUAACCGACUUGAUUGUCACGGAGUACCGUUAUCCGCCACUUCACCGGGGUAACAAACUAAAGCACACAAACAGAAAAACAAAUUAAAACACACAAAGAAAAUUAAAAUCGUCCUCUUAUUGAAUUUACCUCAAGCUCCAACUGGAUGUCGUAAACACUUCUCUCAAUGUCUCUGAGUUGGCGUUCUAAACCCUCAACAUAGGCUACUAACUCUGGUGGUUGUAGAGCCCAAAUGCGUUGUGUUUUACAAAAUAGAAUCUGCCUUUUGAGAUGAGUUUUGACACGUUGAAGUGGUUUAAGAAUGUUCAGGAGGAACGGUCUAAGUAUGAGACUCAUGAUUAAAAAUGAUAAGAGAAAACUUAAUUGUUAAACAAACACACUUAUGCAAAAAUAAUUUCAAUUAGCAAAAGAAUAAUAAAAAGAAAGAAAGAAAAAUCAAAUCAAUAAAAAGAGAAAAAAAAAAUUAAUUCAAAUCUGGUGGGUCACUCAAAUUUAUUUCGGUGUCUUCUUCAUGUGGUUGGUACUCUAGAUAUGGCUUUAAUCUUUGACCAUUAACUUUAAACGUGACACCGUUCUUUGGGUCUUUAAUUUCAAUUGCCCCAUGUGGAAAAACAGUAUGAACAAUAAAGGGACCAGACCAUCGAGAGCGUAACUUACCUGGGAAUAGGUGCAAGCGAGAAUUGAAUAAAAGCACUUUCUGACCUGGAGUGAACGAUUUUCUCAUAAUUUGCUUAUCAUGGAAGACUUUCAUUCGUUGCUUGUAAAUCUUGGCAUUUUCGUAUGCAUCAUUGCGAAUUUCUUCAAGUUCUGCCAGCUGUAAUCUUCUUUCUGAGCUGGCUUGCUGCAUGUCAAAGUUGAAUUUCUUGAUGGCCCAAUAUGCACGAUGCUCGAGUUCCACAGGUAGGUGGCAAGCUUUUCCAUACACUAGCCUGUAGGGUGACAUCCCAAUCGGGGUCUUGAAAGCCGUUCUAUAUGCCCAUAAUGCAUCAUCAAGUCGUAAUGACCAAUCUUUUCUGUCUGGCCUCACCGUUUUUUCUAAUAUGUGCUUGAUUUCUCGAUUGGAGAUCUCAACUUGGCCACUGGUUUGCGGAUGAUACGGGGUCGCCACUUUGUGUGUGAUUGAAUACUUUGUCAAAAGAGCUUUGAAUGUUUUGUUACAAAAGUGGGCACCACCAUCACUGAUUAUCGCUCGAGGGAAUCCAAAGCGUGAAACAAUGUUGCUUUUCAAAAAUCCUAUCACCACUUUGUGAUCAUUGGUUCUGCAUGGAAUUGCUUCCACCCAUUUCGAUACGUAGUCAACACCAACCAAUAUGUAUUGAUGGCCAAAAGAAGGGGGAAAGGGUCCCAUGAAGUCGAUACCCCAUACGUCAAAAAUCUCAACCACUAAAAUUGGAUUUAGUGGCAUCAUGUUCCUUCGUGUAAUGCUCCCCAUUCGUUGACACCUAUCACAUGAAGAACAGAAAGUGUAAGCGUCUCGAAAUAUAGUUGGCCAAUAGAAACCACAUUGUAAAACUUUUGUAGCUGUUUUCUUAGCACUAAAAUGGCCUCCACACGCUUGUUCAUGGCAGAAUGAAAGGAUAUUUUGAAUUUCACUUUCUGGGACACAUCGCCUAACAAUUUGAUCUGCACAAUACUUGAACAAAUACGGGUCAUCCCAAAAGAAAUUCUUUAUUUCCGCAAAGAAUUUAGCCUUGUCUUGCUUGGUCCAAUGCUCUGGAAGUUUACCUGUAACAAGAUAAUUAACUAUAUCAGCAUACCAAGGUAAUACUUCCACAUUCAUUAAUUGUUCAUCUGGAAAUGACUCAUUCAAUAUUAAUGGAUCUGUAAUUGUGUCAAAAUGGAGACGAGAGAGGUGGUCCGCCACAACAUUUUCUGUGCCUUUCUUAUCCUUGAAUUCCAAGUCGAAUUCCUGCAAAAGUAACACCCAACGAAUUAGUCUAGCUUUUGCAUCUUUCUUUGUGAGAAGAUAUUUAAGAGCAGCAUGAUCUGUGAAUAUAAUUAUUUUACAACCAAUGAGAUAAGAUCGAAAUUUCUCUAAUGCAAACACUACUGCUAGCAUUUCUUUUUCAGUAGUUGAAUAAUUCAACUGUGCAUCAUUCAAUGUCAUACUAGCAUAGUAAAUAACGUGGGGAAUUCGAUCAACUCUUUGUCCUAAUACUGCUCCUACUGUAUAAUCAGAUGCAUCACACAUGAGCUCAAAUGGUAAGUUCCAGUUUGGGGCCUGAAUGAUGGGUGAUGAUGUCAACAACUGCUUUAAUUUUUCAAACGCCAUGAGACAUGAAUCAUUAAAGAUAAAAGGUACAUCCUUAGCAAGUAAAUUGCAUAAGGGUCUAGAAACUUUGCUAAAAUCUUUAAUGAAACGUCUAUAAAAACCAGCAUGUCCAAGGAAAGAUCUUACUUCUCUGACUGUUUUAGGUGGAGGAAGAUUAGAAAUGAGAUCCACCUUGGCUUUGUCAACCUCAAUACCUUUGCUCGAAAUGAUGUGACCGAGAACAAUACCUUGUUUUACCAUAAAAUGGCACUUCUCCCAAUUCAAGACUAAGUUCUUCUCGGUACAUCUCUGCAGAACUAGCGUUAGAUGAUGUAAACAUUGAUCAAACGAGUCACCAAAGAUAGAAAAAUCAUCCAUAAAGACUUCAAGGAAUCGUUCAACCAUAUCAGAAAAAAUGCUCAACAUGCAUCGUUGGAAUGUAGCAGGUGCAUUACAUAAUCCAAAUGGCAUUCUCCUAUAUGCAAAAGUGCCAAAAGGGCAAGUGAAAGUAGUUUUCUCCUGAUCUUUUGGUGCUAUGGGAAUCUGAUUAUAUCCUGAGUAGCCAUCUAGAAAGCAAUAAAAUUCAUGGCCUGCUAAUCUAUCAAGCAUUUGAUCAAUAAAUGGUAAAGGAAAAUGGUCUUUACGUGUGACAGAAUUCAACUUUCUAUAAUCAAUGCAUACACGCCAUCCUGUAGUUACUCUAGUUGGUAUCAAUUCAUUAUCAGCAUUGGUAACUACUGUGACUCCUGACUUUUUGGGGACGACUUGUACAGGACUGACCCAUGAACUAUCAGAAAUUGGGUAAAUGAUACCUGCAUCUAAUAGCUUAAGGACUUCAGUUCUAACAACUUCUUUCAUGUUAGGAUUUAACCGACGUUGCAUCUCCCUAGUAGUUUUAGCAUUUUCAUCAAGGUGAAUGUAAUGCAUGCAGUCUACUGGAUUUAUACCUUUUAUGUCUGCUAUGGUCCAUCCUAAUGCCCCUUUGUGCUCUUUUAACACAUCCAACAACUUACCUUUUUGUUCGUCAUUUAGGGAUGAUGAGAUGAUUACCGGUAGAGUGCUUUCUUCUCCCAAAAACGCAUAUUCCAAUGUGUUGGGCAAUUGUUUGAGCUCGAGUUUUGGUGGUGAUUCUGAUGAUGGGAUGAGUUUCUUUUCUGACGGUGCUAGUUGUUCUACUCUUGACUUCCAUUUAUUAGUGUCCAUGGAUGGUGCUGAGUCAAGUAGGGCGUUGACCUCUUCGACCGAUCUAUCAAUAUCAAAAUCCAAACCAAAGUGAGUUAAGCAUGUUUGUAAAGGAUCAUCACUAAGGUUUGAAAGAAAAGUAUUAUCAACUAUUGUUUCUAUUAAAUCCACAUCAACAAUUCCAUCAUCUGCACUGUGAGGUUGUUUGGCAAUGUUAAAGAUGUUUAGCUCCAUAGUCAUGUUGCCGAAGGACAAUUGCAUAUUUCCGGUCCUACAUUGAAUAUGAGCAUCUGCAGUUGCCAAGAAAGGUCGGCCUAGAAUAAUGGGGAUGUGCUUCCUUGAGUCCUGUAUUGGUUGAGUGUCAAUUACAAUGAAAUCAACAGGAAAAUAAAACUUGUCUACCUGGAUAAGCACGUCCUCCACAAUACCACGAGGUAUUUUUGUGGACCGAUCUGCAAGUUGUAACACCACUGGAGUUGGGUGUAAUUCUCCCAGUCCAAGUUUCACGAAUACAGAGUAAGGUAACAAAUUUACACUAGCUCCUAAAUCCAACAAAGCAUUCUCAAUUGUGUGGUUCCCUAUACUACAUGAGAUAGUGGGGGAGCCUGGGUCUUUGCAUUUUAAAGGAAUUUUAUGUUGGAGUAUAGAACUAACGUUUUCUGUUAAAAAUGCCUUCUUUUGAACAUGCAUAUUUCUCUUUUUAGUACAAAGGUCUUUAAGAAACUUGGCAUAAGAUGGAAUUUGUUUUAUAGCAUCAAGCAAAGGGAUAUUGACACUUACCUGUUUGAAGAUUUCGAGAAUCUCACCUGUGGAUUUUCCCUUCUUGCCUUUAGCUAACCUCUGAGGAAAUGGAGCUUUCGGAAUAUAUUCUCGUGGGUUGGUUUCUUCUCUCUCCUCCGGUGGUGAGUCCUCAGCAUUUACAGGUACAAUUUGAUUUUCUUUUGUCACCUGCAUCUCCACUUUAUUGUCGACUUCUUUUCUUUUUCUCAAGGUCAUUACUGCUUUGACCUCUCCAUGCUGCUGUGGUGAACUGGUACUUGCUUCAUGCACUCCUUUAGGAUUAGGCACUGGUUGACUCGGAAACUUGCCUUUCUCAACAGUCAUUGCCAAGGUCUGAACUGAAGAAGCAAGCUGUCCCACCAUCUUCUCGAGGCUUGAAACUGAUUGGGCUUGUGAAUUGAAGCCCGCUCUCAACUCAUUUCGUAGUCCAUCAAUGGUGCGAUUCUGUUGCUCAAUCGUGGAGUGAGUAACAUUCUUGAAAUUCUGGAAUGCAUCCUCCCAUGGUCUGGGUUGAGAGUAGUUCUGGUUUUGAUUGUAUGGUCUAAAUGGUGGCUGAGAGGCUUGAGGAUUUUGAGGAAUUGGUUGCAUUGGUGGAGCUGGAGCUGCUGGUCCAUUCUGUUGAAAUCCUUGAGACCAUGAAAAAUUGGGGUGGUCUCUCCAUCCAGGAUUAUAUGUGUUGGAGUAUGGGUUGUAAUUAGAUGGCUUUCUCAUUACACCUAUGGCAUUGGCUUGAUCGGAGUAUGAGUCAUGGUCAUGUGGUUCUGUUGAUUUAGCAGUCGAUAACGAUGCUAUUUGUCGAGCAAGACCUUCAACCAUCUCCUUGACUUCUUUGAUUCCCGAAGUUGACUCGCCAAUGUGAACCUCAUUCACUCCUUUAAUCCUUCUAGUAUUCCUGAGUGAUCGACUCCGUUGUUGGGAAUUAUCCGCUUGUCGCUGGAAGAAUUCCCAAAUCUCUGUUGCGCUUUUUGACAUUAGCUCUCCUCCACUUGUUGCCAUUAGCCAUUCUUGCACAUUCGGCAAUAAUCCCUCCAAAAAGUAUUGGCAUUGGUGCCAUUUUUCGUACCCAUGAUGUGGACACUUCAAGAGUAGUCCAUUGAAUCGCUCCCAAGUUUCGAAAAACUGCUCGUCCUCUCUUUGUGUAAACUCUGAAAUUUCCCUGCGAAUAGAAUUGGUUUUAUGCACUGGGAAAUAUUUAUUUAGAAAUUUUGUUACCAUUUGUUCCCAUGAUGAAAUGCUAUUGGCAGGCAAUGUAUUAAGCCAUGAACGAGCUCUAUCCUUUAAAGAAAAUGGGAAUAGUCUAAGUUUUACAUCAUCAUCUGAAAAAUUUUCAUAUUUAAAAGUUUGACAAAUAGCAUGAAAAUCAUUCAAAUGAUUAUAUGGGUCCUCAUUUUCUAGGCCAUAAAAUGUGGGGAGACAAUUUAGCACACUAGGUUUUAAUUCAAAACUCCUAGCAGCUACAUUUGGGUAUCUUAUGCAUGAUGUGCUCAAAUUAGCUAAGGGACUAAAAUAGUCCUUAAAUGGCCUCUCCUGUGGUGCUUGUAAAUCCAUUUUAUUUUUAACGUGUUUGUGUGUGCGAAGUGUUUUUUCUAAUUCAAGGUCUAUAGGUUCAAUAUUAGGUAAUAAUGACCUACGACCAUGCAUGCAAAAUAAAUAAAAUAAAAAUAAAGAUGCAAACAAAACAAAAAAUAAAGAUGGGAACAAAACAAAUAAAAAAUAAAGAUGAGAACAAAACAAAUAAAAAUAAAGAAGAGGGAGAAAUUACGAUACUAACCUCAUUGCGCUAUUACAACCUUACUAUAAAAAUACACAAAAAUAAAUACGUGAAAUAAAUUAACUAAAAAUUAAAUUAAUAAGAUAAACAAAAAUUACAAAGAAAAAAUAAAUUGAAAAUUAAAUUACAGAAUUUUAAAGAAGAGAAAAAGAAAAGAAAUACUAACCUUUAAAUGUAGAUUUACUCUUUUUUUUUAAAGAACAAAAAAAAAAAAAAAAUACAAGAAAACAAUUUAAAAUAAAUUAUUCACAAAAAUUAAUUCUAUGAAUUAAAACUACUUACCUCCCCGGCAACGGCGCCAAAAACUUGUUGUGCAAAUUUUAAUGUACUCGCAAGCGCACGAAUCUAUUGUAGUAUAGAUCAAUGGUGACGAGUGUCGAUCCCACGAGGAGGUGGAUUUUAAUUGUGUAUAGAAUUAAUUUUGUAAAUGGGUGGUUGGAUCUGUGGUGGAAAUGAAUUGGAAUAUGCUAAAACUUAAAUUAAAAUGGCGAGAAUAAAUUCUAAAAUUGGAAUUGCAAUGGCGAGAAUAAAUUGAAGAGAAAUGUAUUGAAAUGACGUACUUGGGUAUCUGGAUCCGUAUCAACAUGCAUCAUGGGCUAAAUAAUCCGUAUUAAUGCCAAUUAAAUCAUGAGGGGGGAAUCCACACCUCAUGAACCACGCUCUAAUCAAUAUGGUGCUAAGGGCUUAUCGUGCCAAAUAAUAAUAACCUUAUACUAGAGAGCCGGUGUAACCAAGGCGGUAUCUAGACAAGAUCAGUAUUAUUUGUCGACGAUAAGUCAAAUCAUCCACAAAAACUAGAGGGGAAAAGAAAAUAAAUUUACCAAAUAAAGCCCAUGACACAUGUUGAGACUUCACCUUCAACCCAAGCUUGAAAGGAAAUUAGCUACUCAUAAUUGAACUAGGGGCAAAAUGAAAAUUUAUUAAAAUACGAAGAAAAUACAAGAUGGAGAAGGAAUUACAGAAAAUGGAUCCCAAAAAUGGAUUCAGAGAUAUCAAAUUAGGGGGGGGAGGCCCCUUUUUUAUAGAUACAUGGAGUAAAUCAUGGCCAUCGGAUUAAAAACAGUUUGGACGCUCAGGAUUGCGCCACGUCAUCAGUCAACAGUCCACGGUUUGACCACGCGGAUGAACAGUAACACGGUUUGACCACGCGGAUGAACAGUAACGCGGUUUGGUUGAAAAUAAUCCUGUGUGAUGCAUGCACCGUACGCGAGAUUUUUCGUCCACUGAUAUGCUGCCACGUCACCAUCAACAGUACAUAAGAAUUUUAGUCCAACAGGAUCGUGACACCUCAUCAGUCAAUGCCACAUCAUCGGUCAAUGCCACGUCAUCGAUCCGUCUAUGUGAACAGUGUCGUGAACAGUAACGUAGACAGUACCGUAUACGUGAAUAGUACCGUACAUGUGAAUAGUGCCAUUUUUCUUUUUAUGCCCCUCCUAAGGUUUUCGACCGUCCUGAGUUCAAAAGUGAUGUCCGUUUUGCCAUCUGAUCUCUCCUUUAUUGUGAAAUAACUAUAAUGCCCCUAAAAUACAUAAAAUACUUAAUUAAAAUAAAACACAUGUAAUUAAAUCACAAGAAGGUUAAAUACAUAAAAGUAAGGGUUGUUAAUAAGACUUGAAAUGUAAAAUGACGGUUUUCUCCUUUAUAAAUAUGCAUUUUCUAACACUCAACACUAGUGAGGUUCCAUUUAGGUGUAUUGGGGUUGUGGGUUUUGUGAGUUUUUUCCACUUUUGUAAAUUCUCAUUAUUAGUAAAAUUAUCUUCCAAUCUUUGCCCGUGGACGUAGGCAUUAUGCCGAACCACGUAAAUUAUUGUGUUUAUAUUUUCUUUGUAUUUGUUUGGCACAUUUAUAUUUCUCCAAAAGUUACAUUCAUCGUAAUAUUGGUAAUUGCUCAACCUCGCACUUCCGCAACAAUUGGUAUCAGAGCAGAAGGUUCGUGCUUGGGGCAUACAACAUUGUUCACGUAUACGGAACUGUUCACAAAUACGGUAUUGUUCACGUAUACGGUAUUGUUCAUUGAUAUGGUGGAGAUGGUCAUUUAUACUUGGGAGACAGUCUAUUGAAAGUAGUGUGUAUUUUUUCAUGUCUAGGAAAGUCCUGUCAACAAGGCGAUAAAAGCUUAAGGAGUCUGGUUUUAAGUGGGACCGUUGUGACCCCUCCAUUCUCCUAGGAACUUUCCUGGUGCAUUUAUUCAUGCGAAAUAAAUAUCAUAGAGGCUAUUUUUCAAGUGUAAAUAGUUGUUGAAGAAACUGAUCAUUUGAGAUAAAAAUGAUGGCAGAGGCAUCGUCGUCGUCGUCGUCUUCAUCAGCAAGGACUACUGUGACUAAUGCAAAGUUUGAAGUGGAGAAAUUCAAUGAUACCAAUAAUUUUGGUAUGUGGCAAUGUGAGGUGUUGGAUGUCUUAUGUCAGUAAGAGUUGGACGUUACUCUUAAAGAAAAGCCUGACAUAAUGGAUGACAAGGAGUGGAUAAAGAUCAAUAAACAGGUAUGUGGUACUAUUCGCCUAUGUUUGGCUAAAGAUCAUAAAUACUUUGUUAUAAAGGAGACAUCGGCAAAGAAAUUGUAGGAGACAUUGGAAGAAAAAUAUAUGAAGAAAAGUAUAUAAAGAAAAGCCUUAAAAAUAAGCUUUAUAUGAAGAAGAAACUUUAUCUAUUCACAUAUACACCUGGCAUGUCGAUGAAUGACCAUGUAAAUUCAUUCAACAAAAUAUUGGCAGAUUCACUAAAUUUGGAUGAGAAAUUUGAAGAUGAAGAUAAGACACUGUUGUUUUUUAAUUCCCUUCCUGAUGAAUAUGAUCAUCUCACUACCAAUUUGCUUCAUGGGAAGGGCAGUGUCACAUUCGAUGUUGUAUGCAGUGCAUUGUAUAACUCUAAGAUCAGAAAGAAAGAUAGAAAAGAUCACAGAGAUACAGUUGUAGAAGCAUUAACAACUAAAAGUCGUUCACAAGGCUGUAAACUUGGAAAAAGAAGCAAGUCUAAAGGGAGACCUGCCAAAGAUGAGUGUGUUUUUUGUCGCGAGAAAGGACAUUGGAAAAAGAAUUAUCCUAAGUUACAAAAGGAUAAGGCUUCUUCUUAUGCAUGUGUAGCAGAGUAUGAUGAGGAGUCAGACUUUAGUCUGGUUGGCAUGACGUUGACAUGUUACUUAGAUGAGUGGUUUUUGUAUUCGAGUUGUGCUUAUCAUAUGUGUCCUAACAAGGGUUGGUUUUCUAACUUCAAGGAGCUGGACGGUGGAAUUGUUUUUAUGGGCAAUGACAAUGCCUGUAAAACCUUGGAAAUAGGUACAAUUCAAUUAAAAAAUCGUGACGGUUCAAUCAAAGUCUUGACGGAUGUUCACUACAUACCAAGUUUAAAGAAAAAUCUCAUCUCAUUAGGAGUCCUAGAAUCUAAAGGGCUCACAAUCACUCUGAGAGAUAGAUUAUUAAAGGUAGUAGCUGGCACACUAACGGUGAUGAAAGACACAAGAAGAAAUAACUUGUACUAUUUUCAAUGGAAUACAAUUAUUAGAUCAGCAUCAACAGUUUUUGGAAGAGAUGCAGAUUCAGAAGCAACCAAGUUGUGGCAUAUGCGUUUGGGACAUGCUGGUGAAAAAUCUUUACAGACUCUAGUGAAGCAAGGCUUAUUGAAAGGUGCAAAUUCUUACAAAUUAGAAUUUUGUGAACAUUGUGUUUUAGGCAAGCAGACAAUGGUAAUGUUUAGUUCAAUAAUUCACGAUACAAACUUCCUCGGGGGAGCAUUAAAACCUUCGAGCAGAUGUGCCAGGAAUUUGCAGAGCAGUUUCGUGGGGCAAUGGCACCAGAAGAUGCCAUGAUGGAAUUGAAAAACAUGAAGCAGGGGGAAUAAUAAACACUUCGGGAAUUCAUCAAGAGGUUUUACCAUGUUGUCCUUGAUUUGGGAGCCUUCAACCAUCCUCAGGCAUUAAGGGGACUGAAAGAAUGGGUGAAGAUAGGAAGACUGUGGUACAACUUGAGAAGCCCAGUUAUUCAGACGUACGCCGCCGCAUACAAGCAGGCUAAGAGGGACAUUGAGAUUGAAGUGGAAAAGGCAGCACGGAUCAAGACAGACCAGUUAGAUGGGUUGGGGAAGAAAGAGAAGAAAGCAUUGCCAGGGAACGGGCCGAUCAGGAGGAGAGACCUUCAGGCCUCAAGUAGUGGAGCAGGAGAUCGGGUAACUACUGGCCAUCCUCAUCAGAGGCCACCACAGUAUCGGCGCAGCAGGGCGCAACCUCCUCGUUCCCCAGCUAGGGAGCCUUGGAGAAGCCAUGACUCGGCAUAUGGUGGUCUUCAUCAACACUCCCACGGUAGUAGGGGGCAGACCAGAAGUGCUGCCACCGCCUCCAACUCAGAACGGAGCAAAUAGAGAAAAAGCAGUGCACCUGAUCGACCAGAACCAGGACUAUGGGCAGUACACUUCCUUAAAGAUGUUCCUGGACGAGGUGUACGAGGCCAUAAAGGAUCGAGGGUUGCUAUACCUCCCUGCCUCAAUAACAAAACUACCCAGCAGGAGGGAUAAGGGACGCUAUUGUAAGUUCUAUGGCGCGCAUGGCCGUACUACAACAGAAUGUAGAGAUCUAAAGACCCAGGUCGAAGAUUUGGUGAGAAAUCGAUACCUGGACGAGUUUAUAGAGGGGACUUUCCCGAUGGUGGCCUCGACAUGCGAGGGGGAGCAGAGUGGCAGAAAUUUGAGGCACGAGUAGCCUACAGUAAGGGUGAUUGCUGGGGGCCCGACAUUGGCUGGAGAUUCCAACAGAUCUAGGAAGAACUAUGCUAGAUACGCCAUGACUAGUAAAGAGGUAUUCUUCAACACCCCGGCAGCCAAACGAGCAAGAGUCAGGCAAGUGCCAAUCAUGUGGACAGACGAGGAUGAAAAAGGGAUUUUAUACCCACACGAGGAUGCCUUAGUCAUCAAGGCCACUGUUGCUAGCAGGAAGUUUGACCGGAUACUAGUCGAUAUAGGAAGCUCGGUUGAUGUGUUGUUCAAGUCCACUCUAGAGGAGAUGAGAAUAGCAGACCUGAGGUUGGAGCACACCAACACCUCCUUGAAGGGAUUUGGAGGAGGAAAGCUGGUCCCCCUGGGUGUGGUCGAGCUGCCUAUCACAAUCGGAAGCUCCCCGACAGAAAGGACUAUGAUACUAGAUUUUGUGGUGGUUGAUGAAGAGGGUCCUUACCAGAUAAUCCUAGGUCGGCUGUUUCUGAGGAUGAGUAAAGCAGUACUGUCCAACCAUUAUCUUGCUCUCAAGUACCGGGUGAAUGGGGUAGUUGGAGUGGUACGAGGAGACCAGAGAAUCGCACGAAGCUGUUACUCCUCGGCAGCAAAGGAAUCGAUACAGAUAACAUCCCUUGAUACCCGAGUGAAAGCCAGGAAUGGCAACUUAUUGGACUCGGAGUUUACAAGCUGGUUCGCAAGGACGGCCACGAGGUGAAAUGCCCAUGGAACGCAGCACACCUCCGAAAAUACUUCCAGUAAGACUUGUUCACAUUUGAAAGCUAUUUCUGCUCGUGUUCAUUAUCGUUUAUCUUUUAUGUUUUAUAUCCAAACAAUUUCAUGUAAGUCGAAUCCUGCCAUUAAUGGAACGUCGAGGAAUUUCAUUCGCUUGAAACUGUGAAAAUUUCCUAAGGCAUGCAAAGGCUCGUCAAGUCUCAAAGCCUGUUUAUGGCGAGACCAGAAGCCAAGCGUGCCAGGAUCUGCUCGGCCACGAGAAGGCGAGCAGAAUCCCAAGCUUUGAAGAAAUUACCUAAGGCAUGCAAAGGCUCGACAAAGUCUCAAAGCCUGUUUAUGGCGAGACCAGAAGCCAAGCGUGCCAGGAUGUGCUCGGCCACGAGAAGGCGAGCAGAAUCCCAAGCGUUGAAGAAAUUACCUAAGGCAUGCAAAGGCUCGUCAAGUCUCAAAGCCUGUUUAUGGCGAGACCAGAAGCCAAGCGUGCCAGGAUCUGUUCGGCCACGAGAAGGCGAGCAGAAUCCCAAGCGUUGAAGAAAUUACCUAAGGCAUGCAAAGGCUCGUCAAGUCUCAAAGCCUGUUUAUGGCGAGACCAGAAGCCAAGCGUGCCAGGAUCUGUUCGGCCACGAGAAGGCGAGCAGAAUCCCAAGCUUUGAAGAAAUUGCCUAAGGCAUGCAAAGGCUCGACAAAGUCUCAAAGCCUGUUUAUGGUGAGACCAGAAGCCAAGCGUGCCAGGAUCUGCUCGGCCACGAGAAGGCGAGCAGAAUCCCAAGCUUUGAAGAAAUUAUCUAAGGCAUGCAAAGGCUCGACAAAGUCUCAAAGCCUGUUUAUGGCGAGACCAGAAGCCAAGCGUGCCAGGAUCUGCUCGGCCACGAGAAGGCGAGCCGAAUCCCAAGCUUUGAAGAAAUUGCCUAAGGCAUGCAAAGGCUCGACAAAGUCUCAAAGCCUGUUUAUGGCGAGACCAGAAGCCAAGCGUGCUAGGAUGUGCUCGGCCACGAGAAGGCGAGCAGAAUCCCAAGCUUUGAAGAAAUUACCUUAGGCAUGCAAGGGCUCGACCAAGUCUCAAAGCCUGUUUAUGGCGAGAUCAGAAGCCAAGCGUGUCAGGAUCUGCUCGACCACGAGAAGGAGAACAGAAUCCCAAUCAUUGCAGAGAUUACCUAAGGCAUGCAAAGGCUCAUCAAGUCUCAAAGCCUGUUUUAUGGCGAGACAGAAGCCAAGCGUGCCAGGAUCUGCUCAACCACGAAAAGGUGAGCAGAAUCCCAAUCCUUGAAGAAUUGAAGGCAUGCAAAGGCUCGUCAAGUCUCAAAACCUGUUUAUGGCGAGACCAGAAGCCAAGCGUGCCAGGAUCUACUCGACCACGAGAAGGCGAGCAGACUCCAAAGCAUUCGAAAAAAUUCCUAAGGCAUGCAAAGACUCACCAAGUCUCAAAGCCUGUUUUAUGGCGAGACAGAAGCCAAGCGUGCCAGGAUGUGCUCGACCACGAGAAGGCGAGCAGACUCCGAAGCAUUCGAAAAAAAUUCCUAAGGCAUGCAAAGGCUCACCAAGUCUUAAAGCCUAUUUUAUGGCGAGACAGAAGCCAAGCGUGCCAGGAUCUGCUCAACCACGAGAAGGCGAGCAGACUCCGAAGCAUUCGAAAAAAUUCCUAAGGCAUGCAAAGGCUCACCAAGUCUCAAAGCCUGUUUUAUGGCGAGACAGAAGCCAAGCGUACCAGGAUCUGCUCGACAACUAGAAGGCGAGCAGACUCCGAAGCAUUUGAAAAAAUUCCUAAGGCAUGCAAAGGCUCACCAAGUCUCAAAGCCUGUUUUAUGGCGAGACUAGGAGCCAAGCAUGCUAGGGUCUGCUCGACCACGCGAAGGCGAGCAGAAUCCCAAGCAUUGAAGAAUUUUCAAAGGCAUGUGGCAAAACCAUGUGCCAAGCCAGAACCUGCUCGACCAGACAAAGACGAGCCGAUUCUCAAACGAAAAAUAACUCAUGAUUACGACACAAGAAAGUAAUCAAAAAUAUUUUUAUUAAUUUGUUAAUAAUUAACAGAGGAGAUAAUCUUCACAAACAUUGUUCAUUACAAUACAAGAAACAUAUUUAAGAAGAUGGUGGGUCCGCAAGCCGAGCAUCCUCAGUUAGAUGGUCCACCUCAGGUGCUGGGGGAGUAUCUCCAGUUGCGUCUGGGGGGGUACUCGCCUCACCAGCAUCAGCAGGGAUUACACGGGGAGGAGAGUUUUCCUCUUCUAUCACCAUUGGUGCCACCUCUUCGGCAUCCUCCUUUGCAGCCUCCUCGUCCAUAUGUUGGGCGACACCAGCUGCAAGGUCGUCCAUCUUUAGAUCAGGAUGCUGCUUCCCGAGGACGGCCAUGAUGCAACGAUAAGAAUGCCGAAGUCCCUGGUCGUACUGGUUGUCGGCCUCCUUCUCCAAGUUCUCGACCUGACCUCGGUGGGAAUCGCGGAGGGAUUCGAGCUGAGCCUCAUACAUAGCCUUCUGCCUUUGAAGAUCCUCCUUGACCUUGGCCAGCUCUUCCUCGAGAGUAAUAGCCUUGGCUUGAGCAAGAGAUUCUCGCUCAAUCAACUUCAGAUUCUCGAGGUUUAAGUCCCCUGCUUUCUUCUCAGCAACAUCAGCUCUGGUCGUCGCCGACUGAAUGUCCUCCUUCAUCUUCCUAUCAUAACGGCCAACCUUGGCCUUAUAGUAGGUGGUCAUGCAGCUGAGAUGGAAAGCGCUAUACUGCAUGGCCCCCACCAGCUCGCCUAAGGUGUAGCCAUCAAAGUCCUCGAGGUCCUUCUUGCUCACGAUUUUGGAAAGCUCGUUGAGAUAGGGGGCCAAGUGUUCUGCUCGGCUGUCAGGUAAACGAGAUCUAUGCCCGACAAGAGGCGAAGAGGAAGCAGGAUCAGUGGCUGCUCCACUGGUCUCGUCGAGUUUGGCAGAAAGAAGAGGUAAAGUCUUCAAGGGAGAGACCUGCUGCACGAUGUUGGCCCGCUUUGCAGUAGGGGCAUCCUUGUUCUGGUCCCUCUUCGUGGUUUGGGGUCGAGAACGUUUCCUGUUUAGAGCCCCAAUCACGGCGUCCUCCAUCUUAUGACCAGGGAGUAUCAAGCGAGACUCGAGCAAGUUGUAUGUAGUUAUCAGCUCCCGGCUCGAGCAGGAAUUGGCUAGCACAGCCUCGACCCGUUUGAGCUGGCCAGGUUUGAGCGAGAAAUGAACACCCCAAGAAACUACAACACAAACAGACACUUGGUUAGAGACAAACCAACAAAGCGAGAACAAUUACGGAUACAAGACAUCUAAAGCGAACAGGCAACCUGGGACCGUGAAACGGGGUGGAACGCGAUAAUCCUUCCCGUCUAUUUGUGCAACUUGACCCCAAGGACCCCCAGCAAAAAAGAAUUUCCUCUUCUAAUUCCCACCACCACCAGUAGGGAGGUCGGUUAUGGGUUUCCUGGUCUUGGUACUAGAUUGAAAGUAGUACCAGCCGGCAUCUUUGGGGCUGCUCUUUAGCUGGUACAGGUGCUUCACCUCAUCAACUGUGGACUCGCUUUGGCAACAUCUGUCCCACAAUAUGAACAGACCAGAAAGUACUCUCCAACCAUUUGGGUUCAGCUGACCAGGAGAUAGAUUCAGCCCGUUAAGUAUCCGGGCAAAGUAAGGUUGCACGGGACACCUCAGCCCAUACUUAAAACUAUCCAGAUACAGGGUAACGUAUCCCCUAGGAGGCCGGCUAGGAGUAUCCUUCUUUCCUGGGACCUUAAGAGGGAUUUCACCAGGAAUACUAUACCUAAGCCGGAGGUCAUUGAGCUCAUCAAACGUGGUUAUGCAUGUCAUGUAAUCAAUAGCGUAAUCCCGCGAUAGGGCUCUACCUCCUAUUGUACUCCGCCCUUCUGGUCGCGACGCUCCUGAUGGGGACACCUCGCCAGAAUCAUCUCCUCGGCCCUCACUCAGGGUGUUCUCCGAGCCAGAAGACCCCUCUUCAUCACUAUCUCUGCUCGAGGAGGUCGUUUACGGAGACAUCCUCCUAGCGCUAGUGCCGACACUAGAUCUAAUGGGCUCUAAGGGGAUCCCGGGGUCAAAAGCAGGAUCAGUGAGCAGACUAGGCAGGAAGUCCAACUCAUCGUCGUCAACCUCAAUGACCUUCUCUUUACCUUUCGACAUUCCCUAAACUCUAACCACAACACCACCACCAACUACUACCCGAACAAAAGAGAACAAAAAUUAUCUACAACUAUCCGAGACCAAGGAGAUAGAAGAAAUACCUGAAGUAAUGGUUCAGUCGGUGAAAGACAGAGAUGGAGGCCUUUAUGCCGGAACUUCUUUGCCGGAGAGACAGGGACGGAGACAGAGGGAAUGAUGAAUUUGCUGUUUGAAAGGAUUUAGGUUUCCUAAUGGGGACGGCCUCUUGGGUUGCCAGCAUUUAACGGCACCAAAUCCCAAGGGCCUCGUAACCGUUGGUUUGAAAUUCGAAUAGAGGGGCAGAUUUCUGCCACAUCACCUCGUCCGCAAUUAAAUGCGAUAUGACUCUUGGCAGCCUUUUCCAGUCCCACGCGACCAAGAACCGCUAAGUUUCUACUGCUGGUCCAUUACAUUACCCAACACCAGAAACUGGGGGACCGGUGUUUGAGGGAAAUACUCUGACGAGACCAGACGUGAUGAGCAGAUGUUUGGUGGUAGAAGUCUGCGAGCAGGUGUGUCCUGUAAGAGCCAGGUAGCAGGGGAACAGGGGCAGGAAUAUCCUGCUCAUCCACGAGCACGUCAUCCGCGAGGCCAAUUUCCUGUAAGAAGCAUAAAGCCAUUCCUGCUGUAUUCUUGCUAAGGGUUGAUUCGAGGAGACCCGGUCAACGACAGUUGGCGAGGCAUGCUCUCCAGCCCGAGAAUCUAGGCACGAAGGCCACGCAACCACCCACGACUACGGAAAUGGGGAAUCCACGUUCGAGAGGUGGGAGGAUAACGGACGUAGACUGCGGAAAACUGGGAUUCAGAGGAAGCCUAUAAAAAUGUAGCCAACGAAGGUAAAAUGGUUAGCAAUUUUGAGAUUAGAAGGGAGAUAAAGAAAUUCUAAAGAAGAGAAAACUACCCAAAAGCCAUAAGAUCUGUGGCAAGCGUUCCCCGAACCUUCAUAUCUGACUUGAGCGUCGGAGGGUUUGCGUCGGGAAAACAACCGGCGUACUCUGACUUGUCUGUGUGCGCAGGAACCUCUGGAGAAGAAGCUUUACGAGGAGAGAUCCUGGUCGUGGUGAAGUUGAUCGAGCAGAGACCCUGGUCGUAGAACGAGGAGAACCAGAAUCUCGCAUCAACAAAACGUGUAUUUCAACCUGAGUACUAGCGAUUACCAGUGACUGAUUAACACUUGUUUUAAUUGUAUUCAGCAGUCAUAAAAAUUUACUUUUUCUUGUUAUUUAUUUAUACCACACAUUUUGACUACCACAAACUUAAGUUGCUUGGCUGACGUAUUUACCACAAAUAAAAACUAACAUUCGAGGUUUUUCUUUCGACAUUUCUAUAGAUGUUUUAACAUUUUAGAUUACAAUAUUUUUCAAAACUUGAUUUAGUCACUGAUUGUUGACUACGACGACGACAAAAAAUCUAUUUCGUUGUGAAAAGGAAUCCACAAGAGUACAAGACGGAGCCUUGAUCCAGUAAUAUUACGGAAAAUGGUAUUUUGUUUCCUUACAAAUGAAGAGAGGUUCUGUCUUUGCAGUGGGUAAGGUGAGGGUAUAGAACAUAUUAAUGGCUUUACUUAUCAUCAUCAACUUCCUUCUGUGUCUCUCAAUCUUUGUCUUCUUCUUUGUUUUGCAAAGGAACAUAACCUCAAGAAAUAAUACUAAAUUACCACCAGGCCUCCGGGGCCUUCCUUUCAUCGGUAACGUGCACCAGCUUGAUGUCUCAAAGCCUCACGUGUUAUUUUGGGAACUGUCAAAAAAAUAUGGCCCCCUCAUGUCCUUGCGUCUUGGGUUUUCGCCAUCCUUAGUAGUUUCCUCGGCGAAAAUGGCUAAAGAGAUAUUACAAACCCAUGACCUUCAAUUUUGCAGCAGGCCAGCCUUGGUAGCACAACAAAAGUUAUCUUACAAUGGUCUUGAUUUAGCGUUUUCACCCUAUGAUGAAUAGUGGAGAGAGAUAAGAAAAAUUUGUGUCAUUCAUCUCUUUAACUCUAAUAGGGUACAAAAUUUUCGACCCAUUAGAGAAGAUGAAGUUUCAAGAAUGAUUGAAAAGAUUUCAAAAUCAGUUGGUGCUUCUAAUCCCGUAAACUUAAGUGAGGUAAUGAUGUCUCUUACCAGCACCAUUAUUUGUAGAAUUGGUUUUGGCAAGAGGUACGAUGAAGAUAAAGCAACAAGUGGAAGAAGUAGAUUCCAUGCCCUGCUUAAUGAAACUCAAGCCUUGUUUGUAAGCUUUUUUGUUACAGAUUAUUUUCCUUUCAUGGACUGGAUUGAUAACCUCAGAGGAAUGAUGAAACGCCUGCAAAAUAACUUCCAAGAACUCGAUGGAUUCUACCGGGAACUCAUCGACGAGCAUUUGGAUCCAAACAGAACUAAAUCAGAAUUGCCGCAACAGGAGGAUAUAAUUGAUAUUUUACUUCAAAUAAGAAAAGAUCGUGGAUUUAAAGCUGACUUGACUUUGGAUCACAUCAAAGCAGUGCUCAUGGUGAAUAAUUUUAUAAAUAGUUAUAUGUAGACCGGUGCUUAGGCACAGACUCAAAAUUUUGCGCAGAUACCCAAUUUUACAGUCUUGUAAAAUGUUUUAUAGUGCUGUCAAGUGCUCUCUGAUGUCCCCAUCUGAGCACGAUUAACUUAAUAUAGUUUUAUUUGCUUUAACUAAUCUUAUAUGUAUAUAUUUAUGUUCUUUUUUUUUUAAUUUGCUUUUUUAAGUAAUUUAAUAUGUAUAUAUGUAUGUUGUUUGUUUGGCAGAACGUAUUCGUUGCUGGAACAGACACGAGUGCUGCAACUGUGGUUUGGGCCAUGACCUAUCUAAUGAAGAAUCCUAGAGCAAUGAAAAAAGCUCAACUGGAAAUCAGAUCGCUGAUUGGGGGCAACAAAGGGUUUGUUAAUGAAGAUGAUGUUCAAGAACUACAUUAUCUUAAAGCAAUAGUGAAGGAGACGAUGAGAUUGCAACCCACAGGUCCAUUACUAAUCCCAAGAGAAUCAAUUCAAAAGUGCGUAAUAGAAGGGUAUGAAAUACCAGCUAAAACACUUGUCUUUGUAAAUGCAUGGGCAAUAGGAAGAGAUCCUGAAGUAUGGGAGAAUCCUGAGGAAUUUUAUCCGGAGAGAUUCGCUGAUAGUUCUAUUGACUUAAAAGGGCAACACUUUGAGUUAAUACCAUUUGGUGCUGGAAGAAGAAUUUGCCCUGGGUUGCAUAUGGGAAUUGCUACUGUGGAUCUUGCACUUGCUAAUCUUCUUUACAAUUUUGAUUGGGAAAUGCCGCUUGGAAUGAAGAGCCAUGACUUGGACUUUGAUGUUCUUCCUGGAAUUGCCAUGCAUAAGAAGAAUGCUCUUUCUCUUCUGCCUAAGCUAAGUAUCAUGAUGACUAGGUAAAUUAGGGUACCUCUACCAAUAAGUAGAUAAAAAAAUUAGGGAAAUUUACAACCGUCCACCUGUUUGUUUUGUCUUUUUCAAAAAUACACAAACACUUUUUUUUUUUUUCAGCGCGCCACCUGAAGUUCACUUUUUGUUGCAUUCUUCCACUUCCGUCUAAUUUCCGUUAGCAAAUUUAACGGAAUGACCUUUUUACCCCUCAAAAUUACAAUUUAACCCAAAAUAAAUAGAAAUUGGAGAUAAAUUGGAUGGAUUUAAUUUUUUUUCAAAGGUGGAUGCUAGAAAUUGGAGGAAAAUAAUGUUUGUUGCUUGCUAAAUUUAGAAAAUUUGUAUUUAUUUUUUUGGAGGAAAAUAGUGUUUAUUACUUGCUAGAUUUAGAAAAUUUGUAUUUAUUUUUUCUCUUUCAAAAAAAUAAAUACAAAUUUUCUAAAUUUAGCAAGCAACAAACACUAUUUUCCUCCAAUUUCUAGCAUCCACCUUUGAAAAAAUUUAAAUACAUCCAAUUUAUCUCCAAUUUCCAUUUAUUUUGGGUUAAAUUGUAAUUUUGAGGGUUAAAAAGGUCAUUUCGUUAACAUUCCGUUAAAUCUACUAACGGAAAUUAGACGGAAGUGGAAAAAUGCAACAAAAAGCAAACUUCAGGUGGCGCACUGAAAAAAAAAAAAGUGUUUGUGUAUUUUUGAAAAAGGCAAAACAAACAGGUGGACGAGUGUAAAUUUCCCAAAAAAUUAAGGCACCUCUAUCAAUAAGGGUUUGAUCUAAACGAAAUAUGUGUUAUAUGUCCGCAAUUAUGCUUCUCCUCUUCUCCCGUUUUUCUUUCUUUCUUCUUAUGUACAAUUAAUGAUGAUGCGAAUGGUGAUUAAUAAGCAAGUUUCUUUUAGUUCAAAAUUUUGGGAAGUAAAGGCUAGAAAAUAAUGGGAACUUUGCCCGCUCUCCUAUACCUUAAGAAAAGGGCGAAAAAAAAAAAGAUAUGAAUGUGAAUAUUAAUC
rnacentral:lncRNA from 1 species